rnacentral:lncRNA from 1 species
UUUUUUUUUUUUGGUGUUUGCGUUGUUUUGAUUUCGAUUUCAAAUUGAUCUAUAAAAAGCUCAUUUUCUGUUUUGUUGCUGAGAAAUUCGGGGAAAAUGAUUGAAUAGUACGUUGAUGGAUUUGAAUUUUUUGCCAGAUUUGAUCUGUGUGUUUUGGAUGGAAAUCUGCGAUAUCAAUCUGUUUUAUAUUCUAAUCUGAUUUAAAUUCCCAUUUAUUUUUUUUAUUUUAUUAUUGAACAUUUUCUGAAGAUUUGGUUUAAAUUUUGGAUAGAUGAUACAAAUAUGCCCAUAAUAUGAUUAAUUCAUACGUCAACAAUUAUAUGAUCUUUCCUUGACAAAUAGUGGUUGUGUAAUUUGCUGAAAAAUUGUAACUUCUAAUCUAUGCAUAUGUCAAGCUAAUAUUGCAUAUAUAUAAUUUAUCAACAUUUGUUCUAAUUCUAUGGAGAAUGGUGCGAUCAAGAAAAUUGCAUUUUAUGAGCAUCUAUUUAAAAAAAAUAUUUUAGCGUCAUAAUCUUUAAAACUAAUGCGGAUAUACAGUCUUAGAGAUGCCUACAGGUAUACUACUCAUUUCACUUUUCACAUAUUAAGUAAUUUAAUUUUCAGUGUGGUUGCUUGUGAUAUGUUUCUUCCACUGAAAAGUUUGAAUUCCAAUGGAAUAUCUGGUAUAUACACCCCAGUAUUUCCCUAUCGUGUGUCAUCUUGCUUAAUGCUGUUAUGGCAUCUAUACUGUUGGUUUUUUGGGAGGAGAGGAGAAUAAGAGACUGAAUUGCAUAGAAUUGACAUAUUGAUUUUAUUGACGUACCUGUUAUUUAUACAUAUGACAUGUAACUAAAAAAUCAAACAGGAUCAUAAAAAAUCUAAAUUUGAAUUUAAAAUCUUAACAAAAUAAUUUAAAUAACUUGAUCAUUUGAUUUAGUCUAUUCUAACAUAUACGCUGAGCACAAUAAGGUGUUUUCCAUCUGUUUGUGGGCUUAAUAUGAUAUUUAUAUGUUUGCUUAUUACCAGAUUAUUUAUCAUAUAAUAAGUGAAUAAGUGAAAUAGUUGUACAUUGUCAAGUCUUGUAUGUUUACAAUAUGCAUCAGCUGAAACACUAUGUCAAUGAGUGGUUUUAGAAAUGAGCAUUAGUUAUCAUAUCAGAGAGUCAAGAACAUAUUAACUACAGUGGAACUACAAAGUUCUCAAGAAAUUUUACUGCUUCUAAUUCUGCAUUUAUGUUAAUCUUAUGGUUCUUUUCUUUUUCUAACACAUCAACUUUACCAUUCAGUGACUAGAUUUUAAUUUGAGCCAAAAUGUAGAACUUUUUCUCUUCUAAAAGAAAUGUAGCUAUUAGUAUUUCUUCUUCCAUUUGUGGAAUGCUUGGCGACCCUCCUCUCGUUGCCUCUUAGGAGACAUCUUGAUAUUUUUUCAAUCAAUAACAAGGAGAAUUCUGAUGAGCAUAUUAUCUUAUGACUUUUGGAUUCUUAUCUUUGUUGUACAUGUGCAGAUAUUGGAAGGUCUCCUUAAAUUGCCCGAAAAUAGAGAAUGUGCUGACUGCAAAGCCAAGUAUGUAUGUAUAGAAUAUUUAGGAUAUAAUAACCAUAGAGAUAGUAAAUAGUUGAAUACAUAUAUAACUAUAAGCUUGGGGAUAAUUUAGGGUUUUCUUAGCAGUACUGUUGUAAUUGUUGUUGAGAAGAAGACACAAUUUUGAAUAUGUUGAUUACAAGCAAUUUAAAAAAAAUUAAUAUAGAUUUUUCAUAUUUUGUUGAUUAACAUUCUAAGAAAUUUGCUUUGAUGCUUCAUGUAAUAUUUUUUUUUCCAACAAAGUGGUUUCAACUUCAAUGUCAACAAACACACUUAGUGGUCUUGGAAUGGAUGCUUGUAAACUGCACCAUAUAUUAUCAGGCUCUUGUUAGUAUGUUAUUUCAUCUUUAUUAUAUAAAUUAGUAUUAACUUGCCUGUGAUGCAGAGGUCCAAGAUGGGCAAGUGUGAAUUUAGGUAUCUUUAUAUGCAUGCAAUGUUCAGGGAUCCACAGAAGUCUUGGGGUGCACAUAUCAAAGGUGAUGUUUAAUUGUCCAGUAUUUCGUGAUUGACUUAAUUCUUGGAGAAUUCAGUGGAGAGGAUGAGCUGCACAGCCUGCCCCUUUAACUUGCACUGAAUUAUUAUACUUUUGAUGGAAAUGCAGUAAUCUUUACUUUAGAACAAUAGCAUGCUUACAGGAAAUACAGCAGACGUAAUUAACCAGAAUCAACUAACUUCAGCUUCUCUUUAAUAUUAUGAUUUUAUGAGAAAAUGCUUAAAAAGCAGUGGUGAGUGGAGGAAUCGAUGAUUAAUCCUACAUGGAAUCAUAAUUCUGAAUUUAUGAUGCUAUGUUAAUUAAGUGAAUUGUCUUUUGCCACUUGUAUGAGUCAUUAAAUGGAUCUGCGAGCUUUAUGUUAUGUAUCAGACCUGUAUGGCCCUUCUAAAUAGAGAAAUAGAAAGAGGCUUGGUUGAAAAAAGAACAGAAAGGGGAGAAGAUCCAGAGAGAAUUAGAGGAGUUAGAAAAGUAAUUCUUUGUAUUGAUUCUUGGAAUGCAUUACAAAAUAGCUUCUGCUGAGAUUUAUAGCUUCUAGGAACUCCCCUUACAGAAUCAUCUACAGCUGUAACAAAAUCAGCUACUACUGAUAGCAUCUUUCAACUACUCAGCUCCCACAGACCAGACUAACUACUAUUACUUCUACAAAAAAUCACAGCCUCCCUUGUUCUCCAUGUUAGUUGUAACGCUUUAUUGUGGAGCAAUAGAUGCGGACAGGAAUUACAAGGAGACAGUAAUUAAUAUGAGUAUCUCAAUUUUGUGCAGAAUUGACUAAUUUCAGCUUUUCUUUAAUAGUAUGAAUUUACGACAAAAUGCCUUAAGAGCAGUUGUGAGGUGGAGGGAUUGAUGAUUAAUCCUACAGGGAUUAAUAAUUCUGAUAUAGCUGGGAAUCUUGUUUGUUAAUUAAAUGUGUCCUUAAUUAAAACUACAAUAGCAAUUAUCUUUCUGGAGGGCAUGUUUGAAUCUUUACUUGUUUUCGCUGCAGGUUCGAUCUGCAACCCUUGACACAUGGCUUCCAGAGCAGGUUGCAUUUAUUCAAUGUAAGCCUUUUUUUUCCCUGUCAUGAGCUUAUGGUUAUUGUUAUUGUGCUGACCCUUAAAUUUGAUUAAUCCUCUGCGUCUUACCGGUUUUGUAAAGCAAUGGGAAAUGAGAAGGCAAAUAGUUACUGGGAAGCGGAGCUACCCCCCAACUACGAUAGAGUUGGGAUAGAGAAUUUCAUUCGUGCAAAGUAUGCAUCAAGAAUUAGAAUGCUGUCUUUACUUUUUUCCCCCAUUUAAAUCAUCAUUGUCUUUUAUGCCAAUAAAUCUUCUUGAUUAUUGCUUUUGUCUUACAGGUAUGACGAGAAGAGAUGGGUCCCUAGAGAUAGAAUUGGAAAACCAAUGUCCCCUCCUAGAGGGCAUGAUGAAAGGUCUUCUGUGCAUUGGCAGAGACCCAGUGAAAGAAGUGGGCAUCAACGUGCCGAGAGUUCAGAAAAUAUGUCUGGCGAAAGAAAGAAUGCUCAACCACAACAUUCAAAAGAUAGUGUUCCUGUUCAAAGAAUUAGUGUUCCUGCUCCUCCCAAGGGACCUGAGCAGGUAUAUCUUUUAAUCCUUGUUAGAAAUUGUUAUAUUUACAGUUUAGUGGAAGUGUUAAUGAUUGCAACAAGAACAUGGCUUACCCAAUGUUUUUGUUUCAUAAUUUUCCUUUUUCACUUCUCCUCCUUUCAUUUAUAAGACAAGUGAAUUAAGAAAAAAGGAAGGGAAACAGCAAAGACCUUAGUAGGUGAAAGUUUUUUAACUUCUUUCUCUGUGUGUUCCAUUUCUAAAUUGACAACCAUUGAACCAUGAAUUAUUAGCAUGUUAGUUACUUGAGUUUGUCACAACAUAGAUAAACUUCACUCCUUAACUAAUUUAUUCGAGAUCUGCCUCAAAAACACAAGGUUUAGAUCAUCCUAGUGGGAAUAUAAAUUCAUUUAACGUGAGUUGUAUGAGAUCAAUAAAAUAAGGAGAACAAUAGGGUGGAGCCAUUUCCAAUUAUUUUUAUCAAAUUCCUGCUAUUCUAUUCUCUUGGGCUUAUUGCAUGAUGUCUUUUGGUUAGAGUGGAUAUAUCAUACCUGCAUAUUUGUUGCUGUUCCUUUACUUAAAUAAGCCUCAGGAAGUUAUGAACAUGUUCAAUACCUGUUUGUAUGAGCAUGAUGUUUUUGUGCAUAAACAGAUCACCCCUCCCAAGCCCCAGCAGAUUAUUCAGAAAAUUGAACCUGCAGUAGCGCCAGCUGAACUGACAAAGAAUGCUGCAACAGCCAUUCCACCUGCUUCUGCACCUAAAGUUGAUUUUGCUACUGACCUUUUCAACAUGUUAUCUGUGGAUAGUCCAAGUGAAAAUGGCUCUGAGUCAGCUUCCAACGAUGAUAAUGGAUGGGCAGGUUUUCAAUGUAAGUUGUCACUUUUCACAUUUUCCACUUGACAUGAUCGUAUGAGCAGUUUUUGCUCUUCUUUUGAUUUUUUCUAUUUGUUCCUUUUCCCCUUUUGAAAUUUUAGUAGCAUGGUCUAGUUUCUGUUACAAAUACCAUGGCUUUAUAUUGGCAAGUUCUAUUGUUGCUGUUUAGUUUGACUCUGCCAAUUAACAGCUGCAGCUGCUGAAGAAGCACCACCAAUAGACAAAAUUGCUCCAACUAAAGUGGCUGAGAAUAAUACCAACUCCACUUCUGGAAUUGAAGAUUUGUUUAAAGAUUCACCUCCUUUGACAACUCCUUCAGUGUCAGAGAACCCCCAGAAAGAUGUAAAAAAUGAUAUUAUGAGCCUUUUUGAGAAGGUAUACGGUUGUUGUUAAACAGAAUUUGCACCUUAAAAUCUUAUCCAACCUACUUCAGUUAGCAUUCAUUGAUCAUUAAGAUAUUUGAUACCUAUGUCUUGACUGUAUUACAGUCCAAUAUGGUGUCCCCAUUUGCAAUGCAUCAACAGCAACUUGCUAUGCUGGCACAUCAACAACAGCAUCAACAACAGUCCCUUCUCACGACUCCUGCAGCAAAAUCAGGUGGUGUUGACCCAAAAUUUCCUGGCAAUAUUCAACUGCCCGGAUCCAAUGGUAUUAACUUGCAUGCUCAAAAUUGGCCAAAUGUUGGAUACCAAAUUCCUGGAUUAGUGAUGCCAGAAGCUGGGCAGGUUGACCCACGUAAACUUAUGCAGGUAGUCUAAUAUUGAUUGCAUAUUUUUUGUGGCAUUUUUGUUGCAUCUAGAGAUCUGACAUUUCAAUUGUGUCACCCUUGUGUUAAGACUGGUAAUACAGGAGUCACAAAUCUAGCGGGAAGCGCUGUACCAUAUUCAACAUCUAGGUAUAUAUAUAUUUUGUCCAUUUAAUUUAACUGCUGUAGUAAAAUAUGAUAUUGAUGAAUUAGCAAUUACGUGAUUUUUUUUUUGUGAAACUUGAUCAUUAAGGAAACCAUCCAAUUUCCUUGGAAGCAAACUUUCUCUGGUUGCCAGCUGAAAUAUUUUUGUUAAGUGUUAUUUUUCAUUGCACUUGUUUGAGUCGAGUCAAAUUUCGAACAACUGAUGUCUAUAAUGUCUGAGGUUAUAGUUGUCAAAUCUAAAAUCAAGAAUCAAAUGAAUCAUAAGAUUUAGUACGACUUUCAAAAAUCAAUAGAAAAUAAUAUAUAUAUGUUUCUAGAUAUAUUUCUAUUGAUUUAUCAAAAGAUAUUAAACAUUCAAUUGUAAAUAGCAUAUAUAUAUAUAUAUAUAUAUAGUUUACUUCCAAAGUACCAAUUCGCAAUCAAAGUGAAUCUAAUGGCUUUGUUAUGGCCGAGCUCAAAGUAUGAAAAUAGCAAGUUAAUAUUAAUUUUAAAAAAAAAAAAUCUUGGGCUGUUUGCCCCUUCAUUUUUUAUUAGUUUAUUGUCCUUAGCUUAGAUUUUUUUUCUUUUCUCCUUUUUUUUUUGAAUUUGGCCAUUUGCUGUCCUCUUUGUGAAUUGAUGAAUCUAUCAAUUACUAUCAACUACUUAUGAUUCACCCAUUAGAUUCAUAUCAUUAGACUAGUGAUUCAUUACGUGUGGUACAAUUUGUAUCAGUAAUUGUAUGAUUCUAAUAAUGAAGUCUGAAGUACAUAUCUUGUUAUUUGCGUGUAACAGGCUAACAGCUACCCUUUUUUUGGCAAAAGUUCAAUGAAAAUAGUUCAAAUUUUGGUAUUUUAUGGAUUCUUGUCUUUGACUAGGUGAAACUGAAGAAUCAAGCAUUGGAAUUUUCUUCUCCUCCCUGCUUGCUGUAUUUUCUCCCCUCUUUUAUGUGCACGUGUAUAUGUGCUGUCUUUUGUCUGAGAUGAUCCUUGGGUCUUGCAUUGCAUCUAAACUUCCAGCAUCCACUUUUCCUCUGUGCAAGGAGUAAAAAAAAUUCUCUUUUUCUCAAAUUUUCCUGACCAAUAUUCUGUAGAGAAUUUGUUUAGUCAUCGGGUUAUAAUUCAACCUAUCAUCAAUUUCCUCUGUCCUCUGUUGACUACUUGCAGGAUGAUUUCAAGUUGCCACUAGAAAAUAAUUGUUGUUCUUAACUUGCACACCAAAUUUCUUACAUAAGCACUGCCAGUGUUCUGUUCUUAUAGCUUGAUAAUAUUCAAGCAAUUGGCAGGUUUUUGUAUCUGUGAAAGACUACAAUAUACCCCAAUGUGCAAACCUUUUGAGGGUUUUGAGAAAAUACAAUAAUUCCAGAUUCUACAUUUCUCUUUUGCUCUUCUUUUUCUUUUUCCUACUUUUGAAAUUUUUACUCUGCCCCUCUCCUUGCUCCUUCUGUGUUCUUGGUUUUGGUCCUGUACAAAGGUAAAAUUAUGUGGUCUCACAGAGGCUCCAUCCUUAAUGGGCAAACCUAUCAAGUGCAUUUCUGUUUUGUUUUGACAGUUUGUGCUUAUGUGUAACAUUGCUCGGAGUUUACUCUUUAAACAUCACUAUCAGUAUUCAGUUGGAGGGUCAUCUUGUAUAUGACCAUGAUGAGGGUUACUACUGGUUGUUUCUAAGAGUAAACUGGAGAUCACGGUUUGAUGCUAGCUGUUAGUAAUCUUGUAUUUUUGCUCAAUUAGGCCUAGUGGUGGAUGCUAUUUACUUCGCUCUCUUGUCAGUAUGAAUCGUUCUAAUUGAUCUUAGUGGUUCUUUUCUUAGUUGUACUGAUGUUUGUUUAUGGUGUGAAUUGCCUGUGCAUUCAAUUAUUAUUAACAAAUUGGAAAGCAUUAUAGAAUGUGUUGCUCUGCACUUCAGUAAAUAUGUGCUUGAUAUCACUUCAGCAUCUUAACCUUGCACAUAUCCGUUGGCUGCCUUCGGCUGUAAUGCUGCAACUGUGGUGGUGCUGUCACCACUGCUUAAGUGGAUUAAAUAAACUCCAUAUGGUCUCUGAAUCCCAAGCCAACUCUGGUUCCAUUAGACCAAUAUUAGUUGUGGCGAUUUGAUGUUUGUUAUUGAUAAUAAAUGUUGGCAAUUACCAAAUUUUGAACGUGUUAUUUGCUACUUUAUUUUUCACAAUCUUUGCCAUUCUUUGCUUGCAGCUUUUAUACCAUGGGUCAGGUUACGCCUGCUAAUGGUGUGACAAUGACUGGAGCUAGCAAACCUCAAUCGGGAGCUCCAAUUUCAUCAGAGAAUGCAUCACAGUCUGGAAAGGAUUAUGAUUUCUCAUCAUUAACACAAGGCAUGUUCUCAAAGCACUGAGUUUCCUGAUGUUGGCAUUUUUCGUACGAAUACCAAGAUAGUUGUAUUACAGGAAAAUAGCGACCUGAGAUUUUCCUCCAGUGUGGCGAUUGUAAGCUAUUUUGUAGAUGCAGUUUGAGUUUUUCUCUUUCACAUUUGGUUGAUGGCUUAUUUUACGAGUAGAUAUAAUCCAGAGCUAAUAAAGCUGGGUUUUUAGAUUGUUUUCAUCUUCUCCGCUUAUUGUCGCCAGUUUUUUGAACCACAAGUAUUUUAUACAAGUCUGUAUCUGGACAUUGUACGACUGAAUUUGUAUUUUAUAUAUUGAUAUUUUUUUUUUCAAACAAACAAGCUAUGAAUGCGAGUUUUUCUUUUGAAAAAAAAAAAAAUACAAAAAGGUCUAUGCUUGGAGUUAACAACUGCUUUCAGUUUCCAUGNNNNNNNNNNNNNNNNNNNNNNNNNNNNNNNNNNNNNNNNNNNNNNNNNNNNNNNNNNNNNNNNNNNNNNNNNNNNNNNNNNNNNNNNNNNNNNNNNNNNNNNNNNNNNNNNNNNNNNNNNNNNNNNNNNNNNNNNNNNNNNNNNNNNNNNNNNNNNNNNNNNNNNNNNNNNNNNNNNNNNNNNNNNNNNNNNNNNNNNNNNNNNNNNNNNNNNNNNNNNNNNNNNNNNNNNNNNNNNNNNNNNNNNNNNNNNNNNNNNNNNNNNNNNNNNNNNNNNNNNNNNNNNNNNNNNNNNNNNNNNNNNNNNNNNNNNNNNNNNNNNNNNNNNNNNNNNNNNNNNNNNNNNNNNNNNNNNNNNNNNNNNNNNNNNNNNNNNNNNNNNNNNNNNNNNNNNNNNNNNNNNNNNNNNNNNNNNNNNNNNNNNNNNNNNNNNNNNNNNNNNNNNNNNNNNNNNNNNNNNNNNNNNNNNNNNNNNNNNNNNNNNNNNNNNNNNNNNNNNNNNNNNNNNNNNNNNNNNNNNNNNNNNNNNNNNNNNNNNNNNNNNNNNNNNNNNNNNNNNNNNNNNNNNNNNNNNNNNNNNNNNNNNNNNNNNNNNNNNNNNNNNNNNNNNNNNNNNNNNNNNNNNNNNNNNNNNNNNNNNNNNNNNNNNNNNNNNNNNNNNNNNNNNNNNNNNNNNNNNNNNNNNNNNNNNNNNNNNNNNNNNNNNNNNNNNNNNNNNNNNNNNNNNNNNNNNNNNNNNNNNNNNNNNNNNNNNNNNNNNNNNNNNNNNNNNNNNNNNNNNNNNNNNNNNNNNNNNNNNNNNNNNNNNNNNNNNNNNNNNNNNNNNNNNNNNNNNNNNNNNNNNNNNNNNNNNNNNNNNNNNNNNNNNNNNNNNNNNNNNNNNNNNNNNNNNNNNNNNNNNNNNNNNNNNNNNNNNNNNNNNNNNNNNNNNNNNNNNNNNNNNNNNNNNNNNNNNNNNNNNNNNNNNNNNNNNNNNNNNNNNNNNNNNNNNNNNNNNNNNNNNNNNNNNNNNNNNNNNNNNNNNNNNNNNNNNNNNNNNNNNNNNNNNNNNNNNNNNNNNNNNNNNNNNNNNNNNNNNNNNNNNNNNNNNNNNNNNNNNNNNNNNNNNNNNNNNNNNNNNNNNNNNNNNNNNNNNNNNNNNNNNNNNNNNNNNNNNNNNNNNNNNNNNNNNNNNNNNNNNNNNNNNNNNNNNNNNNNNNNNNNNNNNNNNNNNNNNNNNNNNNNNNNNNNNNNNNNNNNNNNNNNNNNNNNNNNNNNNNNNNNNNNNNNNNNNNNNNNNNNNNNNNNNNNNNNNNNNNNNNNNNNNNNNNNNNNNNNNNNNNNNNNNNNNNNNNNNNNNNNNNNNNNNNNNNNNNNNNNNNNNNNNNNNNNNNNNNNNNNNNNNNNNNNNNNNNNNNNNNNNNNNNNNNNNNNNNNNNNNNNNNNNNNNNNNNNNNNNNNNNNNNNNNNNNNNNNNNNNNNNNNNNNNNNNNNNNNNNNNNNNNNNNNNNNNNNNNNNNNNNNNNNNNNNNNNNNNNNNNNNNNNNNNNNNNNNNNNNNNNNNNNNNNNNNNNNNNNNNNNNNNNNNNNNNNNNNNNNNNNNNNNNNNNNNNNNNNNNNNNNNNNNNNNNNNNNNNNNNNNNNNNNNNNNNNNNNNNNNNNNNNNNNNNNNNNNNNNNNNNNNNNNNNNNNNNNNNNNNNNNNNNNNNNNNNNNNNNNNNNNNNNNNNNNNNNNNNNNNNNNNNNNNNNNNNNNNNNNNNNNNNNNNNNNNNNNNNNNNNNNNNNNNNNNNNNNNNNNNNNNNNNNNNNNNNNNNNNNNAUAACUAAUUUUAUUAUCUAUUUAAAUUUUAAUUAUAUAUUUAUAACUAAUUAGAUAAAUGUAGAUUACAUAAUAUAUAAAAUUUUUAAAUAUUAACCUUUAUUAAAUUUAAUAAAUUAUUUUUAGUAUAAUAAAUAAUUUAAUUCUACUAAAUUUAAAAUUAAUAACAUUAAAAACUAAUUUCAUUUGUAUAAUAUUAUAAAUAUCUUUUACUCUAAUAAAGGUUGUAAUAAAAAAUUGCUAUGAUUUCAUAUAUCUUAUAAUUUUUAUCUUUUAAAUUUGAAUUUAUUACCUAUUAUUUUAAUAAUUAUUUUUGAUAUUUUUAAAUAAUAUUUAAGUUUGUUAUUUUAAUGAUCAUAUCUAAAAAUUGUAAUUUUUUUAAUCAUAUAUAUAUAUAUAUCAAAAUCUAUAAAUUUAAUGGUAGAUAUGUUAAAAAAUAUCAAAAUUUUAAAUGCAUAAAAUACAUCAAAGUUAAAAAUUUAAGAUAAUAAUUAUUAAAAUAAUUAUCUCAAAAAAUUUAAUUUAAAUAUUAUCCAAAUUAUUAAUUUGUAAUACUUAUCCUCUAUUAAUUAUCAAAUAAAAUUAAUUAAAUUCAUAAAUAAGAAUUUUAAACAUACAUUAACUUUAAAUGAUAAAUAUUUAAAGUCAUUUUAGAUUAUAUACAAAUAAUUUAUUAAUUUAAAAUUAUUUAAAUAAUAAAAUAAUUAUUCAUUUUCCAUUUCAAAAAAUAAAUAAUUAUUCAUUUUAAAAUUUAAAACCAAUAGUAAAUAAUUAAAUAAUAUAAAGAUAAAACCGGUAAUCCCAUUAUUUCUUUCUAUUUUCACUUUACAUAUAUUAUAAAUAAAAUAUAUAUUUAAACACCUGUAUUAUUUUAAAUUAAUUCAUUAAAUAUUUAAACUAAAAUUAUAAUCUCUUAUUAACCUUAUUGAUUAAAUAUAUAUUUACACUUUAUAUUAUUUUAAAUUAGUCUUAAUUUAUUAAAUACUUAAAUUUAUAUAAAUUAUAAUAAUUAAAUACAAAUUAAUUAUAUAAUUAAUAACAUAUAAAAAGAAAUUAAAAAUAAUUCAAAUUGUUACUAAUUAUGAUAAAAAUUUAAAAUUCAUGGGUGUAGUUUUUACGAAAAUUUUACUUAAAGUUAAUUUCUUAUCAAUUUAAGACCGUAUAUAUAAUAAAAAUUUAUAUAUAAAAUAAAUUAAAAGUACAUGAUGACUGCUGAGUUUCAUCACCUGAUAAGAGGCCGAGUCCAUAGUAACAGGCCGGUUUAAGACCCGCAGAUUUCCACGAGUGAGAAGAUCUAGCCCAUUUAUUUCUGAGAUCGGGCCUUUCUCAGAAUCCAGUUUUCUCUGUCCGAACCCGGCCUGAAAGCUUAACAAAAUAAGAAUCACUGUUCCGGCUCCAAACUACUCGAUUCACACACGUGCUAAAAGGGUGAAUUAAAUGGCCGUUAGCAUGGUGCAGAGACCUGAUUCUCCCGUACAUGCGUAUCAAAUCAAACUUACUCGACCAUUAUAAAAUUCAAUUUUUUAAAUGUCAGAUUAUCAUCAUAUAUUUAUAUUUUAAAUUUAUUAUAUAUUCAAUAGUCUAGAUAAUUUUUUUGGCAUAUUUUUUAUUUUAUAACAUGGUUUGAGUAUCUUACUACGUCUGUCAAAAUUAAAAAUGCUGGAUUGUUUUUUGUAACCACGAUAAAUUUCAUGCAUUUUAGAAAAAUAAAAAGGAAAAAACGAAAUUAAAAUACAUAUAAGAACGUGAUCUGGCAAUUUCACAGCCAUGCAUGCAUGGACCAUUCAAUUUUUAUUACAGGUAGCCAGAAGCUUCCAUUGAAAACUUUUUAUACGCAUUCAAAUAAAAUAUAAUUAAAUAUGAAAAUUAUUAUUAUUAUUUAUUUAUUAAACUAAUAUAUAUUUAUAUUUAAAUACACGUAAGAAUUAUCCGUUCAAUUUGUAAUUUUGAAAAUUUUCAUAAUAAUUAAGCAACCUAAAUCUAAUUGUACACUCAGGUUUAACCAAGCCUCAUAAUUUAAUAAUGAUUAUACAAAAUAAUCAUUAAAUUUACUUAAAAAAUUAACGAAAUUCUCAAUUACUUUAAUUUUACUUCCAAUUUUGAUUGAUGCUGACUAUUUUUCAAAAGUUGGAUAAAAAAAAAGUUUUAUUUUUUAAAUGUUAGGAUGCUGUGGGAGAUUUUUAAAUAAAAUUAAAAAUGAAAAAAUAUUUAAUUUAUUUUUUUAAUCUAUAAAGAACACGUGGAUUUAAAUAUUUACAAGCAAAAUGUAAAUUUCCAAGAGUGAAGAAAUCAUAAUUACCGACUUUGAAUACAUGCAUGUAGUUACGUAUACAAACAAAAUCAAUCAUGCAUUUGAUUUUGUAGUUUCUAUAAGCUAUAUAUUCAAAAUAAUUUGGGUUGGUCAAAUGAUUUCUCACCUUGCCAUUCAAAAUUAUAAGCACUGUAUAAUUGCACGCCAAUUGCUUUGUUUACGUGUCCGCAUGAAGACAUCUAAUGUUCCACCGUUUAAAAAAAAAUGACCUAAUUUACGAAUUAAAUUAUAAAUUAGUGAGAAAAUAUUAAUUCUAUUUUAUAUAUAAAUUAUUUUAUAAGAAGAAAAAAAGCAGCAUGGGUCUGUGUAGAUGGCUAAUUUAAUUGUGUACUGGGUUAGGAUUAGGAUUAUUAUUUAAUAUAUUUUAAAAUAUUUUAUUAUUCAGAAGUAAAGAAAAUAAUGCAAAGAUAAGUCCAUUUCAAUUGAAUGAUUGGUUUGGUUGGGAUAAUUUGGUAAGGAAAAUUCUCAGAAAUUGAAAAUAUUAACGUGUUUGGUUGUGUGUAACUUUCUAAAAAAAUUGAUGGUUUCACUUUGUGAUGAUUACCGCUGAAUUUUUUCAGUCCCGUAUGAGACCGGAUUCAGAGGCCGGGUCCACAAUAGCAGCUCACAAUCUGACUAGCCCAGUUUAUUUCGGUCUUAAAGCCAGCCCUUUCCUAGGUCUCCGCCAUUUUCUCUCAAAUCCGGCCAUAAAAAAAAAAGACUGCGGGUCCAGUCAUUUUGCAGCCCUGAUCGCGCACGCGUCGAAGGGAAUUAAAUGCUCACCUGACACAGGGAGGGUCUUGAGGUUAUCCUGAUGUACGGCACUGCAUCAAGGGGUAGAUGGACCUAUAGCGGAAAGGCCAUCUCGGGUGAGAAAGAAGAAAGAAGAUAAAAAGAGGUAAUACUGGGCUCUAAGACUAAAUCUUUCCAUAUUCACAAAACUCCUGAAAAACUCUAUUUUUUGGAUCUCAGAUCAUGAGAGGCAAUAAAUUCUCCUAUUUAAUCAUUCUUUUCUCUUUAUUAAAUGGACCACAAAACUCAUUUUAAACUCAACAUCAAGAAAAAAGAGAGAGAAAAUCAACUUUAUUCCAAGAUUUUGGCUUUUUUUUUUCUUUUGAACUUGUUUUAUUAGUUUGGCUUUUCUAUCUUUCUUCUAUAGGUGUGGGACAUCCGUUGAGAUUUAUACAUUUUUAGUAUUGGUUUAUUAGGCUAGCUUAGCCUAACGUAUGUAAUUCAUUUUGCUAACCCAUGCAUAAAAUCUAAUUGCUUAGCUUUAGCUUUGGCUCACCAACCCAUCAUGUUUGCAAAGGAAAAAGAAGAAAAUAAAUAUUACUAUAAGACUCAUAUGUCUUGAAGUGGAUUCACCUCCCAUGAAAUUUCUUUUGAAUAAUACUAAACUUGUCUUAUUAUUAUUAAUAAUACAACAAAAUACAUAGGAAAAAUGUCAAAACAAUUCUCAAACUUUGUCAUUUUUAACAAUUUUACCCUUCAUUUUUCUUUUUUUCUGGCAAAAAUACUCUAAACUAGUUUUUUUUUUGGGGGGGGGGCAAAAAUACUAGAAAACCCAUGAUACAUUUCUCAAGAUUAAAGUGCUAUAAUUCUUUUUAUAAAUUUCAGGAUUUAAAUAUUAUUCAUUAAUAUAUAAUAACUCUCCCACACCUUGUCCUUUCUUCCUAGCAAGCAAAGAUUCACCGCACUGCUCAAUUAUUCUGAGUCACAAUCAUAUUAAAACCAUUAAUUUGCAUGAAGCCAGCAGCUUCUAUUUGUUAAUUCAUUUCAUUUUAACGUAAGACAAUGUGGUCGGUUAGGGUAUUUGAGAUUCCCGCAACACCCACUACCAUUGCCCGGAGAUUCAGGAUCCUGGACAAAGCUUCAGUGGUAUUAUCAAAAUUGAUGGGAUAGUUAGGUGUGCCUUUCUCCAAUUAAUUACUGCCCUAAUUUUUAGGUUUUUCUUUUUUUAGGCUUACAUCCAUUUCAUAAUUCCUAGCUAACUACAUGUGAUAUAUAACUUUUUUUCCCAUUUUAAAUAUCUUGCUUUCUUUUGGGCAAUAUACCACAGAAUCAAUCAAUUAAUUUCUCUUUAAAAAAAUUAUAACAUCAUAAUUUUUAAAUAAUUUCAAAUUAGUUAGAGUUAAUUAAUUUACACUAUUAUAAAUUAAAUAGCGUCUUUGAGAGUUUAUAGAAUUAUUUUUUUUUUCUUUAAAACUGAGAGAAAUAUCAUUAACUCAAAGCGAUCAAAGAAACUAUACGAGGAGGAGGGAUAUGAACCCAAACUUCUUGACCUGACUCAGAAUGAGCCGAUAUUGCUAGAAUAUGAGCGAUAUCAUUCGCAGACCUGUGAAUAAAACCACGUCUUGCUUCUUCAUAACUGGAUAGAAGCAAUUUACAAUCUUGAACCAAAAAACUAAAAGGUGAUAGAUCAUCUAACGACGCAUUGUUAAUGGACACAAUAAGAACCUGAGCAUCCCAUUCGAAAAGAACUCGAUCCCAUCCACACUCUUUAAUCCAGCUCAACGCUUCUCGAAAAGCCAUUGUCUCAGCGCACUUAACUUCCAUCUGACUGCAAAAACAGCCUGCUUUAACCGCCAUAAAUCUACCAUUAGCAUCUCGGACUACACAGCCGAAACCUAGUGAACUUCGUUGCGAGUUUAAAGAGGUGUCAAUAUUAACUUUAAUCCAACCCUGUGAUGGAGGAGAUCAGACAGUCAAAGCCAACAUAACAUUGGUGCAGCUGGUAGAAUCAGAACAAGCCUCCCUCCAUUGCUGCAAAAAAUUUAGUGCCAUGAAGAACACACCACUCGCAGUUCGACCCUGAGCUUUCCAAACAACAUUAUUUAUGUUAUGCCACAAAAUCCAACAUAUCAUUAGAAUAAGGGAAGCAUUCUCUGCAGAAGCAAUAAGAAAGGCUAAAGAGAACCACUCCCUAAGAGAGGCAGCGGAAAAUGCAGGCCAACCCAAAGGCGAACUCAACCAGCAACUGCGGGCAAAAAGACAUUGAACAAGAAUAUGCAAGACAGUCUCAGGAGUCUCAUGAGAUAACGGACACAUCGAAUCAACCGGAACUCUCCUGGAUUGAAACAAAGAGAGGCAAUAAACAAUUUAAAUAAAUAAGAAAAAGCAAUUUUUAUAAAAAUGAAAUAAAAUAAGAGAAAAAUUAUAGUAUACUCUCCAUAUUCACAUUUUAUAAAUAAUUAAGAAUAAAUUUUAAAAAAAAUAUAUAAUGAUUAACUUACUAAAUCUCGAUAAAAUAAAAUGAAAAGAUUUUGUUGAUCACUGACUAAUUCAUUUUAUUUUAUAAUUCUUUAAAUAAUUGACUUUACAAUAAUAAUAUUAGUAUUUAUAUAAAUAUAAAAAAAUUUUAUAUCUAUAAUUUAAUAAAAUUAAAUAUUUAAACCCUCUAUUUUUAAAAAUAUAUACUAAAUAGUUAAUAUUUUUUGAAAACAUUAAAGCUAUCAAGAACUUUAUUUGACCUAUUAUGUAUUGACGAUUAAAAUAUUUUUAUUUAUUAUCAGUAUCUAUCAUGUUAGAGUAUAACUAUCCAAUGUCCAUAAUUUUAAAAUUAUAACAAUUUAUCAUUAGAAUUAAUAUUUACUAUUUUUCUUUAUAAAGUAAGAUCAAAAUUUUAAUUUUUAUAGAUAAAGUAUACAAGAAAAAUUUUAUUAUUUAAUAUAUAUAUUAUAAAAAAAUACAUCAGAUGAUCAUUUGGUUUUUAAAAAUAUUUUAAAAUAUUUUUGAUAUUUUAAAAAAUUAAUUUAUUAUUUUUUACACCCAAAAAUAUUUUAUUAUUUAAUUUUUAUAAUUUAAAAAAAUUAUUAAUUAAUUUAAAAUAUUUAUUAAUUAGUCUAUAUCUAUCAAAAAUACUUUAAAUUAUUUUACUAUGCUAAUAAUUAAAAUUAAUAGAUGGAUUAAUUAAAAUAUUUUUAAAAAAUUAAAAAUAUUUUAAUAUAAUUUUUAAAAUUUAAACACUAAAAUUUUUUUAUAAUGUAAAAAUUAAAUAUUUUCUAAAAUUUAAUAUUAAUUCGGUUAGCUAAACAUAUAUGUAGUUUAAGACAGAAAAAAAAAAAGUAUAACUAAUAAUUAACCAUCUAAAAAAAUAUAGAAUAUUUAAUUUAUUUUUAAAAUAAAAUAAUUAAUUUCAUUCAUUUUUCAUAAUAUAAACGACCGCUAUACGAAAUGCAUGGAACAAAAUCUCCCAACAGUGCUAGGGAUGGAGCAGGAUAAACUGUGACAUAAGCGAUGCCAAACGUCGAGGCAUAGAGGCUAUGAGAUGUCAACACUGACAUGUGGACAAGUCCUACGUGUUCGAUUCUGACCUAACUCUUACCUACAUGCACAAAAUUUCAUCGCAGUACUGCUGCUAGAGCGGCACUGCACCUCUUGAAACUCUCCAAAUCCAACGGUCCACAUUUCAUCUUCUACACUCUCUUUCAUAUAUAUACCCCUCCCCUCUUCUUCUUUUUUCUUCAUUAUCGCUCCACAUGCAGCUUUCUCUUUCUUUCUCUCUGUCUCUCUGUGCAUUGAGACCCACCACCUGAACAACCCUGAAGCUUUCUUAAUUUCCGUGAAUUUAAUAUGGCGUUUUCUACAUCAGGUCCUGGAAACGUAGUCCUUUCUCUCAAACUAGCUUUAAUUUCCACCGUUGUAUUGUCAGUUGCGGUGAUGCUAAAGCUAUCUGUUCCGGUGGUUACAGAUUUUGCAGUCACUGAACUUCCAGUCGUGUAUAGCUCUGUUAUCUCUUGGCUUCGGCCUCCUUAUCUUUAUUUGGUCAUCAAUGGCAUAAUCAUCUCAAUUGUCGCUUCCUCCAAGCUCCAAAAACCUGAGGAACCCUCUACACAACCGGUGAUAAUUCACCAGCCAACGCCAGCGGUGAUGGCAACGAAGGCGUCUGCGGAUAUAUCAUCUGACUAUAUUGAGGGAGUUGUUGUGAGCGGAUCGCUAUCUGGGUACCAAGAUUUGAAUGUGGCAGACAAGGUUGUGCCUGUGGAUGAUCGCACUGUGAACAAAAUUGAUGAGGGUAGGGUUGUAGAGCAAGAGAGACCGGUGAUGGGAGGUGGUGAUGAGGCUGCGGUUUCUUACAAAUCGGUGCAGCAUCCACAGAAGAGCGAUUCUGUGGAGGAUUUGUUUGAGAAAGAAAAGAAGAAACCGCUGGUUUCUGCAAGGUUUGGCUCCAAGAAAUCAGUGAAAGCAAAUCCUGAAGGUACUCUCUCCAUCUUUCUCUCUGAAAACAUAAAAAUUUCAGCUUCAUUUGAGAAGCAAAUCACCAUUGGAUCAGUGGUUUAAUCACCUUCUUUCUUUCUUUCUCGCAGCCGGGAAGGCAACAGUGUUAGGCGUAUCAAAACCGAAACGGCACGAUACCUUGGAGAGCACAUGGAGGAUGAUAACGGACGGCCGUCCAAUGCCGUUGACCAGACACCUAAAGAAAUCGGACACGUGGGACACUCACGUUCAUCGCGACGACACCACGACACCUCAGCCGCUUCCGACGAAGAUGAAGAAGUCGGAGACUUUUAGCGAAAACAAGUCGAAGCUGAGGCGUGAUAGUGAUCAGGGAUCAGGGAAACUGAAGAAGGAACCGUCAUUGAGUCAGGACGAGUUGAACCGCCGAGUGGAGGCGUUUAUAAAGAAGUUCAAUGAAGAAAUGAGGCUGCAGAGGCUGGAAUCGUUGAAUCAGUACCGCGAGAUGCUCAAUAGAGGGGCUUAUUAGGAAUUUUGAUUAAAUUUGUGGGUUGAAAUGUAAUAGAGCACGAGACUGCUAAGGUGGUUGGUUUGUAAAAUAGAAUCCAAGUCUCCCAAGUGUUUAUUGGCUAGAGACGUGGACGAUGGAAAAUCUGAAGGCACAAUUUAUUGUUUUNNNNNNNNNNNNNNNNNNNNNNNNNNNNGGAUUAGAGAAAAUAAAUAAAACUGCCAAACUCACUGUUGAUUUCAGCAGAGUGAGAGCUACAAAAUGCCAAUAACGCUAUUGUGUUUGAGUGGCGGUAAUUCAGUUAGAGUUAGAAUUUUUCUCUUUUCCUUAGUGGAGGGGUUUGGAAUAGCAUGCUUGAAUUAAUUUGCGAUGAAGUUUCUGGAAAUCUCAAAACGACAAAGUUAAUAUUCCAAAGGUCUCAAAGAUUCUUAAAGAUUUAAAAGAAUCUUAACCUUAACUGCGAAGAAAUUGCAACCUGAAGAGGUCGAUCAAAAUGACUAAUUAUUCUGUUAAACAGUUGAUGAAUGUUGUUUGAGCAGAUUUGAGGGACUAAGAGAUUGGCGGGCUGCAGAAAGAGAUUUAUUGCUGAUUGAGACUCCAGAGAGGAAAUGAUUAUUAAAAUUAAAGGAAAUGAGAAUAAUAGUAAGAAUUACAAAAUAUUUUCUCAUUAAAUUGUAUUUUAUUUUUAACUAACGAUUAAAUUAAUUAAAUGUGGAUAAUAUAAUUAAUAUAAUCAAAAUUUUAAAAAUUAAAUUUAUGUGGAAAAGUCAAAACUAUUUUCAGAUCAAUUUAAAAAAUUAAAUUAAUCAAACUGUAAAAGUUAAAUUGAUUCAAACCAAUUAAAUUGAUCUAAUAAAAUUGAAAAUGUCAAUGGAUCACCUUCAAGGAAGACCACCAUACAACUGUCUCACUAGAAAGAAUCAAGCCACUGAAAUAUUUGGAGGGUUAAGCAUUCAGUCCGGUCGAUUUUAAAUAUUUAAUAGAAUAAACAUUUGGUCCGAUUAAUUUAAUUAAAAAAUUAUUAUAAAAUAAAAAAAUAAAUCAAAUCAAAUCAACUUAAUUUAAUUCCAUUCGAUCAAAUCAAUAUAAUUUAAUUCAAUUCAAUCAAUUCAAUCGGUUGUUUUACAAUUUCAAAAGAAAGCUAAGAAUUCCUUACUUCAGCUAUUUGCAGGCACUUUCAACUAUCACUUUUCAUUCUUAACUAACUCCAACUAGGCUUCAACUUCAGAUUCAAUCUCCUCCGGUGAAAAAAUAUCACAUUUAGAUUCUAGCCAACUUUUCUUUUCAUAGUUUGUUAUUUACGUAUGAUAUAUUAGAAACUUAUAAAAGUAGAAAAAAUAUUGAAAAUUUAAUAAAAUUGAACCGCUAAAUCAUUCAUAUUCUUGAAAAUUACUUUUUUUAAUAAAUUAAUCACAAGAUCAAAUCAUUAAAUUAUUCAAAGUAAUUACGACCUUUCAUUAAUUAAUUAAUUAUUAUACUAAAAAAUAAUUAAUGAAGUAUUACCUGUAAAAACUUAAUGAUAUUGCUAGCGCCAAACACGCGACGAAUAAUAAUAAACUUUGUCAAUUCAGUCGGAAAAAAAUAUGAGUCAAUUCAGACUUUAAAUUAAAUAUCAUUAUAACUUUUUAUAAUCUGCUAUUAUUAAUUUACUGAUUAAUUUGUAUAAAAUUUCACUUAGUGUCUAUUAAUUUAUAUAAACAUCACAAACCUCUUUCAACUUUAAAUUAUAUCAUAGAAAUUUCAAUAUUAAAUUUAACAUAUAAAUAAUGUUUACACAAAAUAUAUUUAACAAUAAUAUAAAUUUAAAUACAUUAUUUUACUAAAAUAAAUGAAAAUGAUAAAAAUCAUCUACAGCAUUAACCUAGAUACAAAAUGAAAAUAACCAUAUUAAAUAGUGUUUGGAUGUAAUUAAAAUAAAAUAAAAUAAAAUAAAUUUCUUAGCCAAAAUAAGGUCAUUAAAAUUAAAAUAAAUUAGAUAUAAUAAAUUUUAAACAAGCUAUAAAUUGAAAUAAAUAAAUAAAAUUUAAAUUUUAAGAUAAUUAUAAAUUUACAGUCAUACUUUACAAUUUAUUUUUUAUGAAAAAGUUAAAUGAAAACUUAAUUUUAUUAUAAAAUUAAAAUUGAGAGAUAAAUAUAAUACUUUCAUCUAAGUUUAAGGUGAGUGAAAUUUCACCGUAAAAAUUUUAAAUUAAACAGAAACAUGAUAAAAAUCUGACUAAUUUCAAAUUAGACAGAUUUUUGUCAUAUAAAUUUCAAUUAAGGGACGUCAUUAAUAUAACUAACUAAAUAGAAGGACCAAAGGUGAAAUUACAACCCCAUCAAAGGCUCAAACUAAACAAUAAUCAGCUAGCCGAAAACGAAGGAAUCACUAACAGCCAUAUCAUAUAAAAUCAAAGACAAUUUUCCUUCAUGGAAAUGGUAAUCUUUAUGUUAUUGUCCGGUUAUAGCUCGACAUGACAUUUGUCAAAAACAUAACUCACAGACAGAGAUGAGAAAGCCUUCUAAGGACACCAGUCACCACUGCUUCCAGUCACUGAGGUCAUAUGAUUGCCUGCUCAAUCCUCAAUUUGUCGGUGAGAACCACUGACCUUAUCUGUUCCGUGGCCGACUAUUUCAGCCCCAAAUGUUUGCUUAAAUUUGCAUAAAAAGGCGUAUUUCUUCACACACUAUUGCGGUUGGACCAUUCAGACAUUAGCAUUUAGGCCUUCUAGUUUCAACUUCCAAAGAGUUGUGGAUAAACUUGGAACAGCCACAAGUUUUAUAUAUAAUAUAUUUAUUUGGCUAUGACUAAUAUUUUAGCAGCAUGGAGAUAAAGAUUCACAUUUAUUUUUUCAAAACAUUUUUCCUCUAUUUUCUUUUCAUACAUGAUGUGAAAUAUUUAGGUAAUAUUUAGUGAUGACAUGCUAAUGCCUAGAUAUUAGGCAUGUCGUCUGAAAGUGGUUGCAGAAAUACUACACUGAGAAAUCAAUAAAAUUUAUUCGGUUAUAAAAUGACAGGUCUAUGUAAAACCUAGCUUGUGUAGAGUAGGGAAGACUUCUAACAGUGAUCUUAUACUGCUUUAUGUACAUUGAUCUUUUUUAUAUGUGAAUCGUGAAGUGAAUCCUAAAGAACACACCAGGUGGGAUCAUUUACAUAGCCAUUGUGGCAGGGAAGAGCCUAUCCAAGAAAGUAUAUACACCUCCUCCUAGGAGAAGUGCACCACUGCAGAGCAAAGCAAAUUCAGAUGUGUUAAACUCUAAGUGUCCCACAAGUUGAAAAUAAAAAAAAAUUAGAUAGACAUGCAAUUAUACGGUAAGCAAGGUUGUUAUAUGGUUUCUAAGUGUUGACUAAGUUGUGGGUUCUGACUUAUAAGACAUUGCCAGAUCGAUCAAUACAAAAGUGUUCAGCACCAGAACGAUGAAUGAUGCGAAGACUAUGAAGGUGUAAACAUAUGCCUAUUUUACUUUCCAAUAUACAAAAAGAAAAUACAAAAACUUACCUUAAUGGAUUGAUCCAUGCUGAGAACUUGCGGAAUGACAGCAGGCUCUGCAAAUGUCUUAAAGGUUAAACUUUGAAAAGAUUAAAAAGAUAACUAAAACAAGGUAAUAAAUUAAUUGGACUUUCUUAACCCACUUAUUGCCAUGAUUAGGCUAGAUAUUAUCACCAAGGGGAUUGACACAUUAAAUUAUACCCUCACAUCAAAUAUGACUAUUAGACAUUGGACCCACUCCUUGGAACUACUAGUUUCAUUCAACAUUCAAGUCCAGAAGUGGAAGUAAUUGCUCAUAACCUUGGUUAAUAAAGUGAUAAAAAUAUAGUCUGCAAUGUAAACCACAUACCUGCAAUGCUCCAGCAAAAGAAGCAGCAAGAAGCAGAGGAGCAACAUAGCCAGUAGUGUACGUCAAAAGUAAGCUGCCCCCUACCACUGGAUCCUGUUACAAAUAAUACUUUGUUGUACAUUUACUAAGUCGUCGAAUAUGUAAAUCAAAACUAAAACAAAUCAAUUUUCAAUGAUGAAAGCGUGAACAAUAAAUAAAGCUGUUCACUGAGAGUAAAUUAUCCAUAAUUGUAUUUCCCCAUUAUUCCUUUCACAUUUUUUUCUUUUUUUGCAAUACUGCCAGUAUUAGUUAGAAAGAACUCAGAAAAGGCACUUUAAUGCUUCAAACCAAUAAACAGACAUCAGAAAAGAAUAAAUGGAAAUUCAUACCAAAAUUAAACCACCAUAUUCUCACCUCUAACUUACAGGCUCUAGUACAACUAUGUUCAAUAUUCUGUCAAAAUUUGAACUCAUAAAAUUAUUGAUCUUCUAUAAGUCCCAAGUAAUAAAGUGGUUAAGUGAUCCCAAUAGUGAUUUUUCGAAUAAAAAAGCAUAAAUGUGUAUACUAUUUAAUAGAGUCGAGGACUUCAAAUAAGUGUUUGUGCCAUAAACCUUUUCCUUUCGCUAAAUAUGUUGCAAAUAUCAAACAGAACUUUUAGAACCAGGUAAAUAGGUAGAAAUUAGCAUAACCUGUUGGUCUGCAUCUGUAUGUGACAAAAAGCAAUGGGAGAGGAAGGGAAGGUGUGACUGAGUUAGAGAGAGAGAGAGAACGUUAUUUACCCUAGAUGCAGCUACAUAUCCCAGCAAAGUGGCAAGCACAGGUGUACUGCAAGGAGAGGCAGCUAAUGCAAAAGUAAGCCCAGCUAAAUAUGCUUGCACACCUAACAAUGCCGUACUUUUCAUCAUUAAAACUUUCAAGCAACCAGAUUAUAUAUAAUGAAAUCCUCAAAGGAUAAGGCAAAAUUUGAAAAGGCCAAUUACUUGAUGGAAAAUUAGCAGCAGCAGCACGGGGGUCAAAAUUGUUAAAAAAGGAAGGGAGUUGUAAUUCAACUAUCUGCAAUAUUCCCCCAGAAUCAGCAUAAAAACAAGAAAAGGAGAACUAAAUCACAAGAAGCCAAUUCAAAUGAAGUCUAUUUGCAGCUAAAUCAUUCAAGCUAAUCCAGAAAACAGUAAAAAAGCCAUCAUCAAAUGCUCAGCAUAUGAAACAGCCAACAUUUGCACAUGUAAAAUAAUAAGCAAAAUAUAUCAACACCUCCAGGAGAUUUAGACCCAUAAUUACGGCCAACCCAGAAGCAGCCAAAGGUAAUCCUUGUCCUAUCUGUCCAUAUGCCUUUCCAGCAAAUGAGGCUGCUACGCCAAGAAGAGCUAGUGUUGUAGCCAAUCCUAAAGCAAAUGCAAUAGAAUCUGAUAUGACCUGAACAGAAGCAUCAAGCUCUUUUUUCAUCAAACUUAUCAGACCAAUAUGUUGAAUUCAUAUCUGAGAUUAAAAACCAAUAAGAAUUAUUUCCCAAAAAAAAAAUCACUUCAAAAGUCGUAAUAUUACCUCUGCCCUACUUUUCCCAGAGCCAAAUGCUCCUGUAUGGUCAAAAUGAGGUCAUUAUCCAGAUGCAGAGAUGACAAAGAUGCAAAACACAAUUUGCAAACUCAUUGGGGUAUGUCACUGAUGUCAUUAGACAUUACAUGAUAUAAUGCUUACCAAUGUAACCAAGGGUCAACGGUAGAACACUCAGUGUACAUGGUGAAAGGCUAGUCACAAGCCCUGCCCCAAAAAUAACUGCCAAACUGUAAUGCAGAAUAAGCUACGAACCAAAUAAUAUAGAUAAAAGAAGGAAAAGGGAUGCAAAUAGAAGGAAGUAAUGUAGGGAAAAACCUGGUGAAACUAAGGGCUGAUAACUGGUCCUGCACAGCUUCAUUAGCCUGUUCUCCAGCUGAAUAUAAGAAGCCUCCAAACCAAUCACCGAUGCUUCCAUCAGCCAUAGUAUAGAUAGAUGCAGCUUCUUCCUGAAUCAAGCAAAAAGAAUUACUGGUCCUAAGAUUAUUUAAGAAAUAUAACUUGAAAUAGUCCAUGGAGAUAGCACCAUAUCUUAUUCCUUUUUUUUUUCUUUUUACGGAAUAGCCUCAUUUAUUAGAAGCACUUCUGAAACUCUAACAAAAAAUAGUAAUAACAAAUGAGGAUACGAUUGGGUGAAAACUUGGUAGUUGUGAAUUUUGACAGCAUUAGGGAAUUCGACGAUAAGAAUAAAAUGAAACAACGGUUGAAGAAAAUAUGCAUUAAAAUGUUCCCCACAACGUUUGGAAUUGGAAGUGUCAGUUCAAACACUGCUAAACGAAUCCUCACCAACAAUUUAUCCGUCAUUACAGCCUUUGCCGCAUCUAUUGCAACCAAAUUUGCAGCUGAGAAUUCAGAAAAGAAAGAUGUUUAUAUCUGAAAACCAUCAAGAACACAGAGAAAAAGAAAAGGCCAAUACGCAAUUCUUAACCUUCAAGAAAAUACCAACUUAAACAAUUAGGUUAAUGUUUACGUUCCAUAUUAGAACAGCUACGCCCAGAAAUAGAAGCAUCACAAUCGACAAGCAGGGGCAAAUAUCUAUUUAACUCCCCAAAAAAAUAAUAUUAACUAGGCAAUAAAGCACCAUCCUUUCUCAUGUAUUAUUUGUAAGCAGUCUUUGCAAUGAAAAUUUAAAAGCUAAGAACAGAAAUCAUUGUUACCUGCAAUGGAACUUGCUAUUGUCUUUAUUCGAAAGCUAUCAUUCUUCGAUAAAGACACGAUAUCAUCACGAAGAUUCUUAUUCGUGGAAGAUUUGUUACUCAUUUUGAUCAGGACCUUAUCUCUCCCUUCACAAGCGAAAUUAACUAACUCAAUUAUUUAAUUAAUUAAAGAGAAAAUGAAAUUUAAAAGGGAAAAUUUCAAUCAACUCACCAUGAUUGGUCCUGUGGCUACUUAUACAACAGCUGAUACAGUGGUUUACAAGCAAACUCAUGAUAACACGAAGAAAACUCUGAGUUCUGAUUCGCGUUUGGUCGCCAAGAAAGACAGCGGGAAAAAUAAGAAAUAUUAGAGAGAAUUUGAGUGGAGAAAGACCUGUGUGGGAGCGGAGCGGGAGAUAUUUUUCUUGCUUCCGACGCGAAUAUACCAAAUUCAGUAACUGGAUAUUGACUGGGGAUGAUUCAACGGUUAAUUUAUAUAAACGACAUCGUUUGGUUGUAUACCCUAUUUAUUUUUAAGUUUUAGGACCUCCGAAAAAAAUAUAAUUACCAUGUCGAAAUAAGUUUGAUCCUAUAUUUUUUCUUAGGGAUUAAAUAAAUUUUAUUUUAUUUUUUUCAAUUAAAUUCAUGUAAUUUUUAUUCAAAAAUCAAAUAAAUUUUAAUAUAAUAUUUUUUAAUGAUUAAUUAUUUCAAAAUAUAUUUAUUUAAUUGCUUGGUAAAUACUCCUAUUUGGAUUGAAUAUCGAAGCAAAGUAUUAUAUAUAUUGAUAUCUGUAAAUGCGAUUCCCAUGCAUGAUUUGAAGUCUAAACAGUAAUAAAACCUCACAUGUAGAAUAUUGUGUGAAAACAUACAUCUGAGAUGGAAAGUUCAAGGCUACCACAGAUAGAUUAUUGGAAAUGGAGCUGCCAAUAUCUUUUAUUCUCCAGGGCUUUACCCCAUGAAAGAGUUUCUCAGCAACUUCAGAGAUGGAUCUCUCAGUUGUUAUCAAUCGCCCUUGGCGUAGCACCGGAGAGAGGCUGUGGUGGUGGACCUUGAUUGUUACGUUCCUGGAAGAAAUUAGAGCGUGGAAUUACGCAGCGAAUUGCAUUUUGCUAAAAAAUGAAUAUCACGGUAUUCUGUCUUUGGGUGAAAGUUCAUCAUUUACUUUGGACCGACUACUAUAUAAUAUCACUAACAAUAUAUAUAAAAUAUAAUUUUUAUUACAUUGUUUUUGAAAAAUUACUAUUUAAUUUUUAUAAAAUAGUAAAAUUAAUUAUUUAAUUUUUUUAUAAAAAUAUAUUAAAUAAUUUAUAUUUUUUAUAUUAACUAUUUAGUCUUUUAUUAAUUAUAUAAAUUAUAUAGUUAUAAUUUUAAAAUUAUAAAAGCCAAAUAAUUAUUAAUUUAAAAUUAUUGGACUAAAUAGCUAUAUUUUUAAAAUAAUAAAAAUUAAAUAAUUAUAUUUUAAAAUUAUAGAUACUAAUUAUAAAUAAAUAUAGUUUAAUCAUUUUAUAUAUUACUAAUAAUUUAAACAAUAAAAAAGACUAAAUAAUAAAUUAUUUAAAAUUAAAAAAUAAAAUAAUUAUAAAUGAGUAUUAAAAUGAGUGAUUCGAUAAAUAUUUUUUUUUACGUGAGAUGAAAAAUUCAAUUAUUAUAUAGAGCAAAUAUUUACCGGGAGCAUUUUAUUUCUUAAUAGAUUACUCGACUAUGAAUAAAAUUUAGUGCAAUUCAAAUAGUUAUAAAAAAAUAUAUUAAUUAAAAUAAUAAUAAUAAUUUUUAUUACAAAAAUAUGGUAUGAUUCACUAUGCAACCUAAUUUUUUAAAUUUCAUUUGAUUGUGUGUCUAUAUAUUUAAAGAAAAAAUUUUAAAUAAAAAUAUUUAAUCUAAUUUAACUUUUUUAAAUAAUAUUCUAAAUUUUAUUUUUCGUUUAAAUAAAUUAUGUAAAAAAAUAGAAUAUUAUUUUUUAAAAAAUAAUAAAAUUAACAAAUUAAUUUAAUAGCUCUUGUUUUGUUUAUCGUCUUUAAUAACACUAUCAGGUCAAUCUGAAGUAACACGUUUUAAGUUUUGCAAAAAGCCUAAAACGAGACAUGAGUAAAUUAAAAUUUAAUGCUUAUUUUUUAUAUAAAAAUCAUAAUGUUUAAUUUUUUUUAAUAUACUUUUUCUUUCAAUAUUAUUAUGAUUGAGAGAAAUAGAAAACUAAUGGAAAUAGUUUCACUGGUUUUUUAUUUUAUUUUUUAUUUUUUUAAUAUAAUCAUAUGUAUUUUCAAAUUUACGCAUUAAAUUAAAUUUUAUUGGCACGAAUCAAUUCAUUAAAAAAUACAGUAUUCGGAAGUAUUUACUCUAUCUAUAAAUAUAUUAUUCUAAAUUUUUUUUCUUUAAAUUUAUUAAAAAAUAAAGUAUUCUCGCUAGUAUUUACUCCAUCAAUUCAUUAAAUUUUAUUGGCACGAAUCAAUUUAUUAAGUAUUUUUCUUAAACAAUUUUUACUCUAAAUUCAAUCCAUAAAAGUGAAUAGAUUUUGUUUAUCUUUUAUACAAAAAACUCACUUAUUUAUAUUUUAUGUCCAUUAUAGAUUAAAUUUGGGCGAGUUUGCUUUGAAGUCAUUAUUUUAUUGUUGAGAGUCAAAUGGAUUCCAAGCAGAAAUGAGAGAAAAUGGUGAACAGGAAGAAUGAAAUAGGAAAAGAACAAAGCCAUGGAAGAGGUUAAGGUUUAGAGGGACAUAAUUUAGGAGGCGAGUAAAAUUUAGUUUAAAUUAAAAAUAUUAUUUGAUUUAAAUUAAUUAAAUUAAUUUUAAUUAUUUUAAUUUAGUUCAAUUUUAAUACAAAAAUUAAUAAAAUCAAAUUAAAUUGAUUAGGAAAUAAUAAUAUACUAUUUUUUAUAAUAUAAAAAUAUUAUAUUAUAAUUAAAAAUUAAAAUAUUUUAAUUACAUUUUAAAAUAUUAAAAAUAAAAUAUAAAAAAUAAAAAAUUUAUUAAAAAUUUUAAUAGAUCAAAUUGAAUUGCCCUAAAUUAUACUGACUUAAUUUAAUUUUUAUUUAAAAUUAAUUUAAUUUUUAUUUUUAAUUUAUUUAAUUUAAUUCAAUUUAAAAUUAAAACGAAGAAAUAGUUACGGCUAUUUUUGAUUUAUCCACCACAUUUCACCUUUGCUUUUGGCCAUUCUCUUUCCCCUUAAUUGGCGUUUGGCGGGGCUCACGUUUCCGUUAUGAUUGAUUUCCCUCCACCUACAAUAUUCAAUAUUCGUAUGUUAUUUUUAUUCCCCAAAUUACCUAAUUACCCUUGUCUAUUUAAAACUUUACAAAAUAAAAAUAACCACAGCUCAUAUUAAAUAGAUUUAUAUUAGGAGUAUAUAUAUAUUUAAAAUUACAUUAAAAAAUAAAGAACAAACUCGUUAAAAACUAACUCAUGUCAUUAGAUCCUUUCAAUAUAUUUAACAUAUAAAUUUAAGCUGUUAAAAAUUAAAAAUCUUGAAUAUAUAUUAUUCUAAAAAAUAAAAUACAAAAAAAUUCAGAGAUUAUAAUUAAAGAAGGGACUAAUAUAUAAAAUAUGAGGUAUUUUAUUUAAUUGUAGUACACAAUUUAAACUGCCUCAUCCACCACAACCUUUAUAAAUUAUCAAUCAUAUAGUUGGUUUUAUUUAUUUUAAUUGGAUAUAUAUUAACUUAUUAUUCUUUAUAUAAUUUAAUGAGAUAUAUAUGAAAAUCUAUUAAUAAUUGGUAUUUGAUUUUUUUAAAAUAUAUGUUAAUAAAUUAUGCACGUAAUUUACAAUUGCACGUGCAAAUACGUUUUUUAAUAAUUUAAUUUUUGAAUUAAUAAAAAAAAUCUCAUUUAUUUAUGAAAAAAUAUAAUUUGAUAACCGCUGGAUUUUUCUCCAUUUUAAGGCCAGAUCCAUGAUGACAACUCAUGAUCUGAAUACUUUUAAAUAUCCUAAAUAAAUCAGAUCCAGCUCGCUCAUCCUUGAGACCGGGUUCCAUUUAGAUCUCUCAAUCAGGUCGGCCCAAUCCUUUCGGCCCUAAGAUUAGAUCCAUAUAGGCUCAAUCCUAAUCUCAUCUUUCAACCCAGCCCGGAAGAAGGAAGGUGGCCAGCCCAUUCGCCUGGUGGGUCCAUCUGUAUGCGUGCCAGAAGAGAAUUAAAUAGCCGUUAUGCAUGGAACAGAGACCUGAUACCCUUGUACGUCCGUAUCAGUAUGGCAAAGACAAGUUGUCCAAUGGAAGUAAGGCCAUGACACGUCCCUGGCAGACAGAGAAAAAGGAUAAAAGAAGAGAAACACUCUCCUUUCGGACUAAAUUUUUACAAGCUCACAGAACUCUUGUAAAACCAUAUUUUCUGAAUCUCAGAUCAUCAUAAUUAAUUAAAAAUGUUUAGCUAAAACUUGACUGCUAUCCUAUUUAUUUAAAAAAAUAUAAAAAUAUCUUUAUAAUUUUAUUAAAAUUUUAAUUUAGAGCGUAAAAAUUAUUAUUAUUUAUAAUUGAUAUGAUAUUAUAAAGUAUUAUUUUAAUAUAAAAUCGAACUACAAAUUUUAAAAUAAAAAAUUAAUGAAACUAUAUAGUAUUUUUUUAUGCUCCACCUAUUUUUUUCAUUCUUUUGAGUUCUACUUUUAUAUUUUUCUUUUAUGUGCUUUUUGACUUCUUACUUAAAUAAGGCACCCAAUGCAAAUGAAUUAAGAAGGCAAAACCAUUUUUGUACUCAUAUAAAAGCAAAUAAAUACACAAUGUUGAGGGCAUUAUUGUCAAUUUAUUUCUCAUGCAUUUAAAGUUCCCUCCAUAUACAAUGUCACAAUCAAUAAAAACCUUAAAUUGCAAAUAUAAGACUGAAAAAAUUACUAUUUAAUUCAGAAACUCUAUUAAUUAAUUUUAUUAAUUUUAAAAAAUUUAUUAAAAUAAUAUUAAUUUUUUAAAAAAUCUAUUAAUUAAUUUUUUCAUUAAAUAUUUUAAUAUUUAAUUUAUACAGUUUUAAAAAUUUUAUAAAAUUAUUUUAGACUUUUUUAUAAUGUUCGACGAUUAAAAUUAAUGAAAAAUUAAUUAAUAAAUUUUUUAAAAUAUUAAUAAUAUUUUAAUAUAUUUUUUAAAAUUAAUUAAUUAAUUAAUAUAAUUUUUUAUAUUAUAAAAACUAAAUAGUAAUUCAUCCAGUAAUAUAAUCUCACAACCUCAAAGACAAGCACAUGAGUUAAAUCCAAAUACUAUAUAAUAAAAUAGGAAAUAUAAUAACUCUAGUAGCUCAAUCAAAUUAAAAAUGAUCCAACAACAAAAGACAGAAAUUCCCCAUCCUUUUGGGCAUGUUUGUAUCCAACCACAAAAACCCACAAAUUAAUAUUUUUAAUAUAUAAAAAAUUAUUGCUAAAAGGAUUUGAAUAUACCCUUCUUUUGUGGGGCAUUCACUACAAUACAUUGUAACUAUUGAGCAAGUGCUCCAUAUGGCCCAUAGAAUCAUUUUUUUUUUUAGUGCUUUAAGAAAGGGCAUGGACAUCGGUGAGGAGUAUUCGGUUCAAACUGAAAAAAUUAAUCGAAUCGAAUUGAUUUAAAAAUUUAGUUUGGUUUUUUAUACAUUUCAGUUUGGUUCGGUUUUUAAUUUCAGAAAUUUCUGUUAUUUCGAUUCAGUUCGGUUUUGAUAAAAAAACCGAAAAAAUCGAACCGAGCCGAUUAGUGAUAAUAAUAUAUUUUUUCAAUAAUAUAGAGAAAUUAAAUCAUAUUAAGAUUAAAAUAUUUUAAUUAAAUUUUAAAAUAUUAAAAAAUAAAGUGUAAAAAAUAAAAAAUUAUUAAAAAUCGAAACCGAUCAAAUCGAACCGAAUCAGACCGGUUCAGUUUGAUUCGAUUUCUGAUCAAAAUCGAUUCAGUUCGGUUUUCAUAAACACUAAAAUUUUAAUUUUUGAUUUAUUCAGUUCGGUUCGAUUUUAAACCGAACCGACCGAAUGCUGACCCCUAGCCAUGGCCCCAUGAGAUCCAAAAGUGCCUAAAUUAGCUCUAACUCUUUUAGAAUUUUUUUAAUAAAGAUUAUUAUUUGAGCAUGAAAAAUUUUAUUAGUUAAUUUAUAGAUUUUAAAAAAUAUGUUUAAAGUAUUUUUAAAAUUUUAAAAAUUUACUAAUUAAUUUAUCUAUUAAUUAUUAAUUAUUAAAUAUUAUAUAAAAAUUUAAAAUAUACUCAAUACAAAGUAAAAUAAAUAUUUAAUAGCUAUUUUCAUAAAAUUUAAAAAUUCACUUAAUGAAUUUUUUUAUAUUAUAUAAAAGUUGCAAUUUAAAAAGAAAAUUAAAGCCUUUAGUAAUUUCAAUUCAAAGAUUCAGCUACUUUUUUUCCCUGAUAAUAAUGAGUUUAUACAAGAUAAUUAUAUUAUUUUACAAGGAAGAAAAUAAAAAGAAUAGGUUAUGCAAAAUUGUAAUUAGUAUACUAAUAAUAAUAAUAAUAAUAAAUUACUUAAAUUCUAUUUGUUUCAAAAAAAUAUUUUUUAGAAAAAUAUUUUUUUAUAUUUUAUGUCAUUUGAGACAUUUAAAAAAUUUAAUUAAUAAAAAAUAUUUUUCUGAUAAAAAAAAAGUAAAUUAUUUUAAGAAAUUUUAAGAUAUUUAUUAAGAAUUUUAUAUAUAAAUUUGUUAAUAAAUUUUAUUUUUAAAUUAAAAUUAAAUAAUAAAAAAUAUUUUUCAAAUAUAAAUUAUUUUCUUGCAUGAAGGUUUAAUCUCAAAAUUAUAUUUUAUUUCUUUAAAUCCUCUUCCAUUCUACUAUUUGCUAUUGCAAGUACCAUGAUUAAAAAUGCAAAAAAUAUGCUUUCAAAUUACUUUAUUUACAAUUCGUUGGUUUGCAAAAAUAAUUUAUAUUUAAAAAAAUAAUUUAUGGAAAAUAUUUUCUUAAAAAAUACUUUUUAAUAAAAUAAUUUAUUUUUUAUUACUUAAUUUUAAUUUUAAAAUAUAAAAUUUAUUAAUAAAUUUAUAUAUAGAUGUUUUAAUAAAUAUUUUAAAAUGCGAAAAAUAAUUUAUUAUUUUAAAAGUUAAAAUUAUUUUUUUAAAAAUAAUUUAUUUUUUUAAUUAAGAAAAUAUUUUUUAUUAACUUAAUUUUUUAAAUACCUUAAAUGCUAGAAAAUAUAAAAAAAUAUUUUUUAAAAAAUAUUUUGAAUGAAACAAAUGGAGUUUUAAUUUUGAAGGUAAAAUUCUAUUUCUAUUUACAAGAAAUUUAUGUUUAUGAAAAUUUAGGUGGGCAUUUUAGCAAAGGGAAUAUUAAUUUGGUCGAUUUUCCAAAUAGACAACUCUCCCUAAUUUGUAAGAGAUUUUACAAGUAUGGGUUGGCAUACAAAAAAAAAAAUCUUGGUGGAUUGGUUUGGAUAUUAAAAAAAAGAGUAAACUGUAAUUUAGUCCCUCUAAUUUAGUGAAAUACAACCUUUCGUCUCUCUAUUUUAAAAAACCUUUAAUUUAAUCAUUCACAUUUAAAAGAACUGUAAAAUAGUCUCUACCGUCAAAUUUUCAAUUAACAUUUCAUUUAUUUUAAUAAAAAUGACUAAAUUAAUAUUUUCUCCUCAUCCUUCUUCUUCUUUUCCCGAUCCUCUUCUUCCUUUUCUCCUCAUCUUCCUCCUUCUCCUCUUCCUCUUCCUCCUCCUCCUCCUCCUCCUUCUUUUUCUUCUUCUUCUUCUCCUUCUUUUCCCGAUCCUUUCUCCUCCUUCUCCUUCUCCUCCUCCUCCCGAUCCUCCUCCUCCUCCUCCUCUUCCUCCUCCUCCUCUUUUUGUGUUGGGAUGGAGUGAAUAAUGUUUGUUUGAGUUUUUUUACUUAAAGGGUAGUUUAGUCAUUUUUAUUAAAAUAAACGGAAGGUUAAGUGAAAAUUUGAUGGUAGGGACUAUUUUGCAGUUUUUUUAAAUAUAAAGGAUUAAAUUGAAGGUUUUUUAAAAUAGAGGGACGAAAUAUUAUAUUUCACUAAAUCAGAGGGACUAAAUUAUAGUUUAUCCUAAAAAAAACACCAUAAAGGGCAUAAGGGAAUUUGGCAUUAAAAAUUUCAAAAAAUAGAAUAGUAAAGCUGAAAAAAAUAAAAAAAGCUUCAAAAUAAUUAGCAGCAACUUGCCCCUCUCAGCUUUUACAGGGUUCCAAACUCCAGAGUGCUUGCAAUUAGCUAAGCAUUUUGUUUUUUCUCUUCCAAAAAAAGAAAGAGAAAUUGUAAUAAUAUAUAUUUUAUUUAUUUAUUUAUUUUUAAUCAGAUCUAGACCGUUUCAGAAGAAACGAAUUCGCCAACCCAACACCUAACCUGAAAAUUUUGAAUUUAUGGAAAUGCAAUAACAACAAUAGCAAAAGCAGAAGAAGAAGAAGAAGAAGAAGAAGAAGAAGCAGCAGCAGGAGCUUAAUUCUGUUUCAGGAAACAGAAAACAGAAACCCCACUUCUCUUUUCUUCUUCCUUCAACCCCAAGAUUGAGAUGGGUUUCGCAAAACAACCAGAAACCUUCCUUUGUGUGAGUUUGGUUGUUCUUCUUAACAACCUUCACCCUCCCAUUUAGCAAAUCAAGCUUGUUACAGAGUUUGUUUCGUUUUUGCAUUUGUGUUUUCGCGCAACGGUGGAAACAGAUACAAUGGCCACAUUUCCUUUUUAUUUUCUCCCCCGUUCUACCUGUUAACGAACCCUCAAAUUUCUAGCCAUCGGAAUCUGCAAUUCUUAUCGUAAUUCAUUUCUUCGGGAAUUGUGGUUGUGGAGGAGAGGUGGCGUGGCGUGGCGUUCAUUGACACACCUUUUUUUUGCGGGAUUAUGAAAUUGUAAGCAUGGUUGGCAAGGAUGUUUUGAUUGCAAUUAGGUUUUUGGCUGCGUAUUUAUUUCUAAUUUUAUCUUAAUUAAACCCCAGUGCUGAGAUUUUAGUGGCAGACUGAGUUUCUUUGUUGGAAUUUGUGUCCAUUUUUCCGUUUUUUUUUGUCGAAGUUUGAAUCAGAAGGGUUUCUUUUUUUAUGCUGCGUGUUCAUGACGUUGUGUAUAUAAGAAAACUGCAAAAUUUUCGAGCUUUUGUUAUCGCAGAGAUUGGUUUUUAAGGACGUGUAUCGCUGUGAUUUAAACAAGGAUUUUUUUGCUUCCUCUCCCUUUUUUCCUUCGCAUUUUGGCGUUUAUGAAAUCCAUUUCGACUUUGUAUCAGUAAUUGGGUUGCAGGAGUCUGCCAUCUCAAUGUUUUGAAGUUUCUGUCUUUGUAAAGCAGUCUUGAGGUGUUGAGAGAAGUUGCGAGUGUAAAGUUUUUAACAUUUUGAUCCAAAUUCGGUAUUCAUAGCUGUUUGAGUAUUUGUUAAUUUUUAUUAUUUUACAAUGUGUUGUUAUUGGGUAGCGAAUUUCUGAGUUUGUGGAAUCUGAUUAAACUUGGGAAUUUAUUUUUGAAAAUUUUGUGUCAUUUCAGGAUUUUGUAAAUUAAGGAAUAAAUUACAAUAAAUAAUGAUGUCUGCGUCAGCGGCAUCGGCGGUAAGGAGCUCAUUGGAGGCCAUGCUGGAAUCGCUGCGGCGGCGAGAUGAGGCCUUGGAGAAGGCCAAAGAGCUGCCACCUGCUUUGCCUGCUCGGCCCACCUCAAGGGCUCGACUUCCUUCUGCGCGGCACUCACUGCCCACUGACUUCAAGGUAGAUGCCAACGGCCAAAUGGAGGGUGAAGUGGAAAUUGAAGUUAAGAAACAGGAGGAGGAUACUAAGAAGAAGGAAAAGGAGUUAGGGCACUCGACAGGAAGUUUUGGAAGCAAGAAGAUGAAGAAAGAUCAGAAUUGUGUGGACUCAAGUCCUUAUGCGGAGGAGAAGAAUGAGCCAGCAAAGGAGCUUGAGAUUAGUUCAACGCCAAACACAGAAGAGCCAGAGUGGGAGGACAACAUUGGUUAUUUUAUCAAGAAGGUAAUUAUAUAUGUUAAGAAAAAGGAAUAGUGAAUUAUCAAUCUUCUUUUUUCCUUCUGAUCUAUCUGGUGUUUAUUGUUUCAAUAUAAUUGCUAGGUGGACUGUUUGUAACUAAAGUUGUUGGAGUGCCUAGAAAAGGACUGGGUCAUAGUAUUUGCUAGAAUAGGAAUGCUUAUGGUUUUAAGGUUUACUUUUUUUAUUUUGGGUUUUUGGAUUUUAGGGCAGAUGUUGAAAUUUUAGGAGUUGGAACCUUUUACAAUGGUUGGGGACACAUAGGUGCCUCCACAUUGCCAUAGGAGAUGUUUCACCCUGUAUAACAUUAGAACAGUUCCUCUCAUGUAUAGUUAUAUCAUUGGCAGAAUAACCUCAAAUGUGAAUCUAUUUUGUAAUUAUGGUUGAUGGGCAGGUGCAGGGUAGUGCGACAAGGAUACAUGUUAACUGUUAUAUUGUUGGAAUGAGUGGAUAAGUAUUAAUCCACAUUCACUUAAUUUAGUGGGUAAUAUAUAGCUGAAAUUUUUAGAGGGGUUAGGUUGUUCAUUCAUGAUUUCAAUUACUGAUAUUGGUUCCUUAAUGGUUCCGUGUGAAUUAUUUUUUCCCGUGAGAAGCAUUUUUCUUAUGGAUAAGUUUUAUUUGGUGAAAGUUGGUGAAAGCCAAAUUGAUCUAUUAAGGGGAUUAUAUUCUUCCAGAAACUAAGUAUCUGGUGUCAACUAGCUAAUGGGCGAUGGGGUUCAGGGAAUAUACAUUCAACUUCAGGGGAUGAAGCAGUUGUUUCACUUUCAGGUGGAAAUGUAAGCUCCUUUUCUCCUCUGAAUGUUUGUUAAACAUCUUUCAAUUGCUCGUGUAGGUGGAGUCUAACUUGAAAUAAUGUUAUUUCAUUUUUAUAGUUUGUUAAGGUGUCUACUGCAGACCUCUUGCCUGCAAAUCCAGAUAUCCUUGAGGGUGUAGAUGAUCUUAUAAAGCUUAGUUAUUUGAAUGAGCCAUCAGUUUUUCACAAUCUUAAGUGCAGAUAUUCUCAGGAUAUGAUUUAUGUAAGUGCAACAGAAACCUUUGUCUCAUAUCAUGUUCUUUCUAUUAAGAUUUUUUGGUCUUGUCUCAACUCCUAUUUUUCAAUGUUUCUUUUGUUCACAUUCCUGCAGAGCAAAGCAGGGCCAGCUUUAAUUGUUGUAAAUCCUUUCAAAGCUGUUCCAUUUUAUGGAAAUGAAAUUAUCAAGGCUUAUAGGCAGAAGCUCAUGGAUAGUCCUCAUGUUUAUGCUUUAGCGGACACUGCUUACAAUGAUAUGAUGAGAGGUCAAUGAAUCCUUUAUUUAUUUUUCCUUCUGCACUUGAAUUUGGUAUUGUUGCUGAGUCCCUCUUUCUUUUUGCCUUCCUUUUGGUGAUUUCAAUCUGCAGAUGAAAAAAAUCAAUCUCUAGUUAUAAGGUUAGUGGUUUUUUUUUCUUUAUUUUUAUUGUUUUAUUUAAUCUUUUCAAGUAUUUUUGAGCUUUCCUAAUUUUUCUCUUAUCUUCUAUUGUACUGGGUCUUUACUCUUUAAUCUCUACUUUAAUGUUUCAAAAUGAUUGGGAUACUUGUGUAGCUAUCAAUUAUUUUAAUAUUUCUCCUAUAGUGGUGAAAGUGGAGCUGGGAAAACCGAAACAGCAAAGCAUGCAAUGAAAUACUUGGCUACUCUUGGUGGUGGCACUGGAGGCAUAGAACAUGAGAUUCUUCAGACCAACAGCAUACUUGAAGCAUUCGGAAAUGCAAAAACAUCCAGGAAUAGCAACUCCAGUAGAUUCGUGAGUUGCUAUGACUCCUUUUUCUCUCUUUCCUUUUUUUUUUUUUUGUUAUUUCAUUGGAUAAGUUAGUCCUGGAUGUGCAUCACUUUUACACUUUUCUCUGCACUUUUCCUUUUGGCACAGGGGAAGCUGAUUGAAAUUCAUUUCAGCACGGAAGGGAAGAUAUGUGGUGCUAAAAUUCAAACUUGUAAGUAUGUUCAAGUUAAGUGAAUUGUUUCUAUCAGUGUGCAAUUUCAUGAUGUCUGUUUAGAAACUGAUUUGACAAUUUUCUGACAUAUGCAAAUGCUGAUUCUCCUCUGGUGCUUGUGCAUAGUUCUGCUAGAAAAGGUAAAUUUUCAAUCCUGAAUUUUAUCUUGGAUUUAUUUUUCAUCUUCUUUGACUUCUAAACUUGUUUGUGUCUCUUUUGAGCAGUCUAGAGUAGUUCAGCUGGCCAAGGGCGAAAGAUCAUACCAUAUAUUUUACCUACUUUGUGCUGGUGCUCCAUCAAUUCUUAGAGGUAAAAUUUUCAUGAAAUAUCCAUCUAAGUUUCAAGAGUUUUUUGUCAUAAGUAAUCUGUAUUAGGCUUAUAUGCCUAUUGCAUAUAUCUGCCAUGCAUUGACAUAAAAGACUCUUGUAUUGAGGCGUUGUUGCUAAGACCCUGUAGAAUGAAUCUCUGCUGCCUUCUAUAGACAUUGACAUCGUUUUAUUACCAAAAUUACUUGGUCAUUUAACUGAUUGUCUUGUCAUGUUAAUUGAUUCUGUUGAAUCUCACAUCGGUUGUAGAAAGGGAUAAUAUGCCCCUUAUAUGGGCCGUAGGCACUCCUCCCCUUGAGCUAGCUUUUGAGGUGAGUUAGGCUUGGCUUAAAUUUAACAAGGUAUCAGAGCCUCUCCAUCCGAUGUUGGCCUCUUAUAAAAUAUGUCACGCACCAGUAAAAUUCUGGACGUGAGGGGUUGUGUUGAAUCCCGCAUCGGUUGUGGAAAGGGGUAAUGUGCCCCUUAUAUGGGCCAUAGGCACUCCUCCCCAAAAGCUAGCUCAAGGGGUGAGUUAGGUCUGACCCAAAUUUAACAGAUUCUAUUAUUAUACUUGUGGAACAUAUGUGUUUUUGUGGUGUUGAUGUUUCUAUAAUUAAUUAAUUAUAACCUCUUAUUCAGUUUAAAGGGUGAUGUACAAAAAUAUUGCAUACACAGACAGCAUUCAUUUUUGAGCUUUGGUUAACAACAGCUACCUCUUCCUUGAAAAGCUAAAACUAUUGAUUGCUACAUCCAUUUUAACUUCAUUGUCUCUCUCUUCCCCCUCCCCACCCCGGGGUCCCUUCCUCUUUUUUUUAUUUUUUAAUUUUUUACUUUGCAGAGAGAUUGAACCUUAAAAUGGCUAGUGAGUACAACUAUCUUAACCAGAGUGAGUGCUUGGUAAUUGAUGGUGUUGAUGAUUCUCUGAACUUUCAUAAGCUUAUGGUAAGUUUAACUGCCACAAGCUAAAGGGUUAAUGCCUCAUUUUUACUUCAUUUUUUCCCCAUGGCUUUAAGGAUGAUACUUUUCUUUUGUUUUUGGGGUUGUUUUCUCAUCUCUCCAGGAAGCCUUAGACAUUGUUCAAAUUUGCAAAGCUGAUCAGGAGGAGAUAUUUGCCCUGCUUGCUGCAAUAUUGUGGCUUGGAAACAUAUCGUUUCACGUAAUUGGUGAUGAAAAUCACGUGGAGGUGUUGACUGAUGAAGGUAAAACCACAAUGAUAUGCUUUUGAUGGUGUCUCUUCUAAUGCGUGUUUUGUGUCUACUGCAGCUUUGGUUGUUUGAUUAUAAGUGAUACUGCCUCAAGUUUGUUUUCUAGGCAUAAACAAAAGAUGUACACAUCUUAUUGAUUUUGUUAAGCUGUGUUGGAGAGUUGGGAUCAUAUUUGUUGAUAGAAUAUAUUUAAUAUGUCAGUGCCGAGUCAGAGUGAUUAUAGAAGUACUAGGCAGCUUUAAAUUUUAAUUCUAGUAGUGGAAGUCUAAUUUUCCUUCUUGGCAAAUAAUAGAAUUUGGUGAUUGCCAGUAGAGUUCAUGUUUAUCACUGAUCGAAAGGAGUAGACUCGGUUGAAAUUUCACUCUAAAUGUUCUGAUGGCAAUUUGAUGUGCUCAAUCUUAACUGUAAUGCACUUCCUAAAGUUAUGAUGGUGCAAUAGGUUUUACAUGAUAGAAUAGGAAUGUAUAUGUAGUAAAAUAACCAGUAAGCUGAAUGAGUAGAAUAUCAUAAAUCUAAUAAUGUGAUUAGACAUGCAUCAUAGGAUAUACAUGUAGCCAGCAUUACAUGCAUGACAUGAUUACAUGGAGUUUUAUUUGAAAUACUACUGAUUUUACUAUUAACUUUUUACAGCUAUUACCAAUGCUGCCAGGCUGAUGGGUUCUAGUAUCCAGGACUUGACACUACUUUUGUCAACCCAUAAAAUCCGAUGUGGGAAGGAUGAUAUUGUUAAAAAAUUGACAUGGCAGCAGGUACUUUUAUUUCUUGAUUUAAAAGAAACUUUUUCGCAUAUGUUCUGCACACCUAUCAUAUAUUUGUAAACUAUUUGCCAAAUGCUUGAAUUUAUUUAGUGUUCUUAAUUAUCCUGUAUUCAGGCAAUUGACAGAAGAGAUGCAUUGGCAAAGUUUAUCUUUGCAAGCUUGUUUGAUUGGCUUGUGGAUCAAAUCAACAAGUCCCUUGGAUUGGAAAAACUGCAUACUGGGAGAUCCAUAAAUAUCCUUGAUAUUUAUGGGUUUGAGUCAUUUAGGGUACACAAGUUUUAUGAUUGAUUUUUCUCUUUGGUAAUGCUUUAAGUGCUGGACACUGUAUUGCUGAAUGCUGAUGAUGAUAAACUCUUCAAAUUUUCAGAAUAAUAGUUUUGAACAAUUUUGCAUAAAUUAUGCAAAUGAGAGGCUGCAACAACAUUUCAAUAGGCAUCUAUUUAAACUUGAGCAGGAGGUAAGAAUCUUAGAUCUUUAGCAGCCUUAACGUUACUCCAUGCAUAUCACGAUUAGGGCACCCUUCUAGGAACUUUCUUGGUUACACUGAAGGAAACAGUCCAUUACUUUCUGUAUCUCGUAUGCAUGCAUAAUUCUCUCUUGGUUCUCCAAAGUCAAAAAAUUUGUUGCCAUAACUUAUUUCAUUAAAAUGCCAGUAAAUGAUAAAAUGACUCUUCAUUUUAUAAUGGAAGAAGACCCAGAUUCCAGGGCUAUGAGGCUUUCUGAUCAACCCCAAUUGAAACCAGCCUUUGUUUUACGCACCUAUCAUGCUUGACAUUAUCAUUUUCUGACAUAAGUCUCAUCUUGCUGGAUGUAUUUUGUCUUUCACCAGUUAAAUUUCCUUGUAAUUGUUAUUUUGAUCUGAUUGUCUAGAUAGUCAAAUUUAUAGUUUCUUAUUAAUUUUAGGAUUAUGAAGUGGAUGGGAUUGACUGGACUAAAGUUGAUUUUGCUGACAACCAAGAAUGCUUAAACCUCUUUGAAAAGGUAUUUUUUGCCUUUCUGAUUCUGUAUUAUUCAUGUGCUGCUUUGUUUUAUGCUGGUUGUUUGGAUUCUUCACUUUGUUUUAUUGGCAUUGGACUAUCUGAAGUACUUUGGGCAUAUAUAUAGGCCAUUAAUUUUAAUAUAUAUUUGGUGUAUAUGCCCUAGCUUUUGAGCUAAUUAUUGUUUCAAGAAUAUUACCAUGGUAUUCAGCUGGUAUGUGAUAUAUGGUUGAGUGCUGUCAAUUGAUGCAUUAAUUAUUUUCUUGGGAUUUGUUGGUUUCCAAAACCAGAGUGUUUGCUAUUAUGCUUAAAGUGGUCACUCCUCCUCCAUUGCAUUCAUUUUUUGCAGAAACCUUUAGGACUACUGUCUUUGUUGGAUGAGGAAUCAAAUUUCCCUAAUGCCACUGAUUUGACUUUCGCCAAUAAGCUUAAGCAGCACUUGAGCAGUAAUCCUUGCUUUAAAGCUGAAAGAGGGAGGACUUUUGUCAUUCAUCAUUAUGCUGGUGAGGUCAGUUAUGCUUUUUGUAGAGGAGGUUUGAUUUUUUUCCCCCAUCUGUUUGAACCCUUCAAGUCAGUUUCACAACUUUGACAGUUAGUCCUUUUGCUCAUUGCUAACAUUAUAGAUGAAAUCAAGGCAUGUAAUUUUUCAAGGGAAUUUAUGGUUCCUCCAUCCUUUUUAUUUUGUGUGCAUGUGUGUUAGAUUUAAACUUAAAUACCACGGUGCAUAAGUUUCUUCUUCAUUUUUUUCAAUUAAGCACAGCAUCUUCUAAGAAGUGGCCUUGUUCAUUGUCUCGAAGUUGGAUCCAUUAGGUAAUUUAUUUUUUGACGUAAAAUUAUGCAUCUGAAAUGAAGUACUUCUUCAUUAGUUUAUGCAGUAGAGCUAGUAAAUAUCAGAAGAACUACAACGCCAUUGCGUAAAUUUGUGUUUAAUAGUGGCCAAUUUUGAUGGUAACACAUAAAAGGUAUAUCCUUAUGUGGCUGUUUUUUUUCCCCUGUUCGUACCCAUUUCUAGGUUAUUUACAUCUUAGUAUUUGAGAGGCAAAUUCUCCUAUUAAAAAUGAUGUAAAAAAUUAGUUUUAAAUUCAGCCAGUUUGUUAGGUGUAUGUGUUUGUGUAUAUAUUAUUAACAUUUAGAGUUUGAUCAGGUUGCGUAUGAUACAAAUGGCUUUCUGGAAAAGAACAGAGAUCUGCUGCACUCAGAUUUCUUGCAGCUACUUUCAUCCUGCAAUAGCCAACUGCUUGAGUUGUUUGCAAGUCCAUUAAGCCAAUCUGGUGGAUUGGAAUCCUCAACACAAAGUGUUGGUACUAAGUUCAAGGUAGACAGUUAUGCUAUAGUGUUUACAUCCACUCAUCUUUCUAUUGAUAGAAUUCAGAUGGGAUGCCAAAACUAGGCAAUUUUAUUAAACUAUCAUAUGUUUUUUUUUAUUAAAUUGUUGAUCAACUCUUCUUUUUUCCAUUUCAAAAAUAAUAUCUUGUCUGGAAGUAUAGAGAGUACAAAAGGAUGUCAUCUGACCAUUGUAUUUGUCACUUAUUCAAGUGCAUACCUUAUUUUUUAGCACAACAAUUGUGCUCUAGUCAGUGCAUAAUCCAUUUUUGAUAUUACGUUUUGCGAAACCUUGAGGGUGUCUCUUUCAUGCCUGUAGGGGCAACUAUUCAAACUGAUGCAGCAGCUGGAGGACACCACACCUCAUUUCAUUCGCUGUAUAAAACCAAAUACUAAGCAGCUUCCUGGAGUCUAUGAAGACAAUACUGUCUCACAACAACUUCGAUGUUGCGGAGUUUUGGAGGUGGUUAGGAUAUCAAGAUCUGGGUAUCCAACUCGAAUGACUCAUCAAGACUUUGCGAGAAGGUACAGGAUAACAUACUCCUUGCAUUCUUUGCUAGUUCAGUUUCCUUUUUGAUUACUGGUUGGGGUAUUAAACUUGCAUAAGAUUUAGGUAUGGCUUCCUACUCUUGGAGACAAAUGCAUCUCAGGAUCCAUUAAGCAUAUCAGUUGCUGUUCUACAACAAUGUAAUGUAGCCCCUGAAAUGUAUCAAGUUGGUUAUACCAAAGUGUUCCUUCGGACAGGCCAGGUUUGUAGCCGUACUUUACAACAGUUUCAAAUGUUUUAUGUUCUCCUGUCCUAUAUAGAUGUCAGGGACUUUAUACAUCUGGUUGAUUUUUGUGUCUACUUUGCCUUUAGUGUUCUGAUUAUUUGAACUUUAAGUUGGUGCGUAUAGAAUUCAGUAGCAAGGAUCUUUUGCAACUGUCAAUAGUAAUUCAAGUGACUGAAAUUUUCAUCACCUCACAUAUAAGAACAAAUCUCUUUUUGGUCUUUUGGACAUGAUUUAUCACACAUAUGUUUAUUUAGUAACUGCCUAAUCACUUGAUGCAUGCUUAGAAUAAAUAUGUCAUUUUGCUAAGCUGUUUGUAAAACUCACCAAUUAUCAGCUUGAAAUAAAUUAAUCGUGACUUAUGCAAAAAAUAUAAAAGUCUGUUGCAUUGUUAGACUUUGCCUGCUAUUACAGCAAUACGCUAAAGGUCAUUAAAGCUUUACUUACUGCUGAGUUAAAAAAAUUAUAUUCUCAAUUAAAUUGGGAAAAAAAAUAAAUAAAAGGGUCUUUCUUUAUCUUUUAGUGAUUCUCAUAUCUAUUAAUUAAUUAAGAGGCAUAUCAAUCUUUUGUUCUCGUGGAGUAUUUCUAUUUGGUUACCUAUAGAUCUCUUUGGGCAUGCUUAAGAGUAGGCCACUACCGUCUGCAUGAUACAUUGUAUGGGCAUUAUGUCAAGAAAAGAAAGAGGUAUUAUAAAUAGAACAUUCCUUUAUAUUUAUCACAUUUAAGUUGCACUUUAACACAGUAGUAGCAUAUAAUCACAAAACUAGGAAGUUUUAUGGACUUGGCUCUUGAGGAUUAUGUAACAAGUUUGAGAAUGAGUUGAGUAUGAGCCUGAAGUUUAUUGAGAAUGAGCUAAUUUCAAGUUAGCUCCAAGAAAAGUGUGAAUUCUCAAAAUUAAAAUAAUGAGCCUAAUAUAUAUCUCAAAUCAGCUUGACUUGGUUCAUCUAUAGCCUUAAUGCAAUAAAUUGAUGUUUAUAUGGAAGGUGAUGUCUUUUUGAGAAGUAGCUAUGCUUCUGGACUUCUUUGGUUGUUGCUUUGAUUUCUCAUCAGUUGUACGCAAUUGUCAGUUUCACAUAGGAUUUUGAAUAUGAGGAAAUCUAAGUUGGAGGGAAGGUAAUUUUUAGUCACACAAGCAACAUAAGUACAUAACUAUCCACUUUCAAGAUCAAAAUGCUGCUGAUGUUGGUUUGGAGCAUCUCUUGGGAAUCUCACAAAUUUGAAGGAUACUUUAUUUGUGAAUUAAAACCUCGAGUAGCUUGAUCCUUGGUUUUGGAUAUUGAAUUAGCUUAUUGCUUUUUGGCUUGAUAUGAUAUUAUGAUUAUCAGUCAAUUGCUUCACUGAUGUAUCAUGUGUUGAUGGAUCACAGAUUGCUAGAUUAGAGGAUCAAAGAAAGCAGGUUCUACAAGGCAUACUUGGGAUCCAAAAAUGUUUCCGUGGCUCCCACGCUCGUCGUGAUUUUAAUAAACUGAAACAAGGAGUGACAAUAUUACAAUCAUGUAAGGCACACUUAAUUCUUCAUACUUCCACAGUCCCGGAAAAAUAGACUUAUUGUUAUCUUCACAUAAAUUAAGAAAAUAUUGCUAAUACAGUUAAAAAAGUUUUGUGAUAUCUUUCCUAAUAUAGUCUCUACUCAUACUGUUUCAUUAGAAUCAUUACUAAAUUAUUCUUAUAAUUAAUAAAUUUUACAUUUUUAAUACAUAUUAAGUGGCAUAUUAGAAAGCUAAUAAAUAAAUUAUCAUCUCAAGAAAGAUCAUUGAAGGUCUAUAAUUUGGAUGGAUGAAAAGGAAAAGUAAGCGUAACUUUUGGGACAAAAGGGAGUAUUUGUUAUCUUAUUUGGUUGGGAUGUUCUGCUCUCUAUAUUUUAGUGGACUUUGCAUUUCAACAUUGAUUUUAGUCUAUCAUAUCCUAAUCACAGUGUCUCGCACUAGUAACUUUUAGUUGUUGACCUUUGUUGAUUGCUUUAAAGCACUAAAAAUAUUGUUUGGGUGGGGCAUUAGGUGCAACUUAUUGUGAUGAUUUUCUUGGAUCCUAAUGACCUGAUUCAGUAUGCUGUAAUUUCAAAUUUAUUUUGUUAACCUUUGAAAUGCAGUUGUCCGUGGUGAAAAUGCCAGAAGGAAGUACAUGUCCAUGCGAAGGAGUUGCACAGUUAGUGCUCCCAUCACAGUUGAUAUUGAUAAUAAGCUGUUGGCAAUUGUAUACUUACAAUCUGGUAACAAUUAUCCACUGGCCAGUUUUUACUCUUAAUAUUUGCAUGCGGUGCUGUAUUUUUAUCAUCUCCUCCUGCAGUAAUCCGUGGGUGGUUGGCUCGGAAGCAAUUCAAUGAGAGGCGUAAAUUGAAUCCAAAUGCUAAAAGAAAGCUAGGAAAGAAGAUUUCAGAACUGAAGGUAUUCUUCUUGACGCUGUUUCAGCUCUCAAGAGCCAUUACUGAAGCUAAUUUCAUUCACUACAGCUUUGACAUGCGUAAUUUACGGAAUUCUUGCAUAUUUUGGCACCUAUUUGUGAAUUCUGGCUUGUUGCAGACAUUGCAUUUUUCAGUUGUGGUUUCUCCUUUGUUGUUAAUUUCAGGCCCAGAAGUUUUGCUUGGAUAGAGAUUACAAUUCCCAUGAUGGAAGUGCCUUUUAUUAUUAUUAUUAUUAUUCAUUUAAAACUCUGAAUAAAUUUUGGAGUGUAGAUCCUUCCUAUCAAAAGAAAAACUGUCUGUUUGUGUUGCAUUUUGUAGUGCUAUUAACAAGAUCGCUUCACCAUUUGUUGAUGCAUCUGUUAAAUUCUCUCAUUGGUUUUUGAUAGGGGUAAUAUGCGUAUUAUAGAGCUUUGGGUACUCCUUCCCCAUAAGAUAGCAUUUGGCAUUAGGCCCAGCCCAGUUUCUGUUGGGAGCAAAUCAGUUAUCAUAUGCACAGAGAUUUGCUUCAGCAUAUUUUGGUCAUGUUUCCUCUAUGAUGGGAAAAUAUGAUUUAAAAUUGUUACCUAGAAAGUUGUCUGUUAGGAUGAGUUCAAGAUAAAAUUAAUAACCCUCUAGUAUUGACUAGGCAUCUGUAAUAUGUCAUAUGUGGCAUUUAUUAUGCAUCUUAUACAAUCUUUCUUGAACUUAAUAACUGUCAUGUGCCUGAAGAGUUUUUAGCCAUCAUGAUCGUCUCUUUCGCCUGGCUAUUUGGAUGAUCUUAUUGGGAAUUGAUAAAAAAUACUAGAUACAAUUUUUUUCUCAUAAAAACAAGGUAAGCAGCUCUGGAGUCAAAGAUUGAUCAUUAUUUGCAGGAACACCAUAGCAACUGUGAUAAAAACUUACAUGUGCCUUGAUGCAUAUUUCUGUUCUCAUUUUUCUGUACAUUUAAAUAACACAAUGAAGUUGACUUUUCCAUGUUGACCAGGUCAUACCACGAGAACAAAUUGAGCUUCAGACUUCGAUUUUGGCAGACCUUCAAAGGAGGGUUACUAAAGCGGAAGCAACUAUAGUGCAAAAGGAAGAGGAAAAUGCUGCAUUGCGGGAGCAAUUACAACAGUUUGAGAGACGCUGGUCAGAAUAUGAGGCAAAGAUGAAAAAAAUGGAAGAAACAUGGCAGAUGCAGAUGGACUCAUUGCAAGUAAGUUUACUUAUUAAUUCAUAAAUAUGCCUGUUUUGUUCUUAAUAUACAAGAAGGACAAAAACAGAGAACUGUAAAGAAAUUAAUCUAAUUUUUGAAGGCUACAGAUCAUACAUUCAAAAUGACUUUAUAUUGUGACAACAAUGACCCACUAAUAAAGAAAAUGUACUUGACGGCCAGUUUUUUGGUUAUCUUCCUGUGAGGGAGUAUCUUUACCAAGUGAAAGAGCAUAUCUUCAUCAGCAAGAAAAAUAAUAGGGAUGGCUUCAUUAUUAUUAAUAAAUUUUAAAUUUCUAAAACAACAAUUUCAAUGCAAAUGUGCUGUUGUGGAAUGUCAACUUUACAUGGUUUUGAACAAUGCACCUUGAGUUGAACCAUUGAAGACAUAUCCUUGAUAGUGGUAGGUAUCGGCUUACCAGAGAUCAUUAUCUAAGGUUAGCCAAUGAAACGUUGGACUUUUAGUUGGUCAAUAGGUCUAUAACCACCAUAGAUGGGACAGCUGUUUGGGGUAGUUAUAAUUAUCUUCAUCAGUUAGGAGGAGGCUUGUGUACCUUUUUAUUUGUUCAACAUCAAAUGGAUUAGCUUUACUGGGUUACAUUAUGGUGCAAACACAAUGUCUUUAUUUGUUAAGAUAGGAAUUUAUAAAAAGGAGGUAGUGUACCUAUAAGCUUAGGUAGCUGAAGUUGCUCUGAGAAUAUUUUAACUGGGGAGACCUUUACUAACUUGUCAUUUAGUAUGGAUCUUAUUUGCAACUGUAAUUGCUUCAUGGUCAUCAAAUGUUAAAAACAGCAGAAUGCCAUUGGCUUAUGGACCUAGUUUGAUAGGAAACCUAAUCCAUGCUUGUCAUAUGGAUUCUUCGCAUGAUGUUAAUAUUAUUACUUAUAUGCUGAAGUAUCUUGAUUGUAAUUUCAUUGCCAGACAAGUCUUGCUGCAGCCAGAAAGAGUCCUGCUCCUGAUAACACUGUUGGUCAACCUGGUAAAUUAUCUGAUCCUUUUGCAACACCUGGCUGUUAUGAUUCUGAGGAUAACUUGUCCUCAGGUCUUCGAACUCCUGGCGGAAGCACACCCACCAAAAUGCCUAGUUCUGUUCAUGAUGGAAGAGUAGUAGUAGGGAGCGAGACUAAUAGCCCUAUGAUUGGAGUCAACGUUCUUGCAAGGGAAUUUGAGCAACGGAGACAAAAUUUUGAUGAUGAUGCCAAAGCACUAAAUGACACUAAAGCAGCACAACCUGCUUCUGAUGCAGAAUUUAGAAAAUUGAAAUUAAGAUUUGAGACAUGGAAGAAAGAAUACAAGGCAAGAUUACAAGAGACUAGGACAAGGCUCAGCAAACUUGGGAAUGGAGAUAUUGAAAGAAGAACUCGAAAAUGGUGGGGAAAGAUAGGGGCAAAAGGGCUCCAACGCUCCCCGGCUUGAUUAGAAAUUUCCACUUGGGUUGGGUUUGUGAUGGGGAGAUAAAAAUGUGUGUGAAAUGUAGCAAGCCAUCAUUUAGUUUCCUCAUUGUGUAGUUUCCACUAUGCUAUUUAAAGCCCCAGAAAUUGGUCCAUGUUGAGAUGGUAGCUUAGUUGGAGGAAUUGUAUUUAUGUAUCCAACAAAUUGUUGAUCAAUGAAGGAUUGAUCAUGUAUAGCCUAAUGCUCUUAACAGGUUUUCUGAGAGAUUUCUGAUCUACCCUCUCUUUUGUUUUAUAAUUUUUUUAUUUAUUAACUAGGUUAGGCUGUUUGUAUAUACUGUUAUUAUAGAUGUAAUGAGACAAACUUGGUAGUACCAAGCGUGAAAAUAUGAAAUAAAAUUGUUCAUAUUGGCUGCCUUGCGACUUUAGUCUCUUGUAUGAAACAUCAGCAAAGCAUUAUUCAGAUCAAUUGCAAUCCUGAUCCAUUAGUGUCAGAAAAUUCAUGCACAGUGAGCCUUCGUUUAUUUCAGCAUGAGCAGUUAAGUUAUCUUUCAAGGAGAUUGAAAAUAUUAGUUAUCUUUGAAGAGAUUGCAAAUAUUAUUAUAAAAUAUUUUAAAAGGUAAACUAUAAAACAUUAUUAUAUUAUAUAUUAAAUUUAUUCUAAUGAAUUUAACCCUUGAUAAUAAUUUCCACCAUUAAUGAUCCCAGGUAUUUUAUUUUCUAGAUAAUUUCUUUUAUCUUCGGCAGAAAAUUCCCACAUCAUGUUUCUUUGCCGGUGACUAUCACGUCAUUGAUUUACUUGGAUAUUUGGACCUGCUUUUUUUCUUAUAUAAAUAUAUAUAUAUAUAUACCAUUUGAAAUUCAAAUUCUAAUUGUUCUAUUAAUUUAAAUUCUUCUAAAAUUUUAAUAAGAAGAAAAGAAACUCCUGUCAUCUCAACUCACCUUUAAAAAUGAUCAGCCUCUCUUUUUGAUGGAUAGUCUUUGCUAUGCUACCUAAUAAGAAACAAUACAACCAUGGUAAAGAAGAAGAGCAUCGCCAUAAAAUUAAAAUGUACAUUGGACUCCAACCGACACUCAAGUUUUUAAAUCUGAUAGUACAGGAAAUUUUGAUACCCUAGGUGGUAGAGUUUCCAUUACAAAUCAUCAAUUUAUGAUCCAGGGACAAACUUUGUGGCAUAGACCCAAGCAUUAUUAGCAACUGGGUUGUCAAGGUGGUCCAAAAGGUUCUCCAGGGGACCCUUCCCAGUUACAAUAGCUUGAACAAAGAAACCAAACAUUGAGAACAUGGCUAGCCUUCCAUUCUUGAUCUCCUUCACCUUCAGCUCUGCAAAUGUAACUGGAUCAUCUGCAAGGCCUAGAGGGUCAAAGUACUUGCCGCCGGGGUAAAGAUCAUUGCCCUCUCCCACUCCAGGGAGACCAUUGAUGCGGAAUCCUUCAACAAGUCCCAUUAGGACCACUUGGAAUCCAAGAACUGCAAGGAUGCUUUGUGCAUGGACUAGGUUUGGGUUUCCCAAGUAGUCUAAGCCACCUUCUGAGAAGAUUUGAGCUCCAGCUUUGAACCAUACUGGUUCCUUGAAGUCCACCUUUACCCAUUUCUCAAGUACUUCUGGUGUGAUGCAGCCUAGUGCUCCAAGCAUAGCCCAUCUCCCAUGAAUCACCUAAAAAACGCACAAUAAUUACUUGAAAGGAACAAUUUUUUCUAGGAUUCAUGUCCUCGGAAGAAUUAUUAUCAGCUGCCUAGAUUUUGGAAAAUGCGUUUCAAAAUCAUUCCAUUAAAACAUCUGUAUUUUGUAAAAUCAAAUUGAUUAAUUUUUAUUUUUUUUUAUAAAAGAAAUAAAUAGUUUGAUUUCCUAAAAUAUGAAAACGUUUUAAUUGAAUGAGUAGUGAAUUUACUAAAAAAGACAGAAGUGUUGCGAAGUUGGAUGUUUCAAGGUAGCCAAAUCAUGUAGCAGCAAGGUUCAACAAAGAAGAUAAGGAAGUCAGAAAACUAAGGUUGUAGAUAUAAGACUAACCUCAAGAGCCCUGUUCCUGGCAAAAGCCUCAGGAUCAGCUGACAAACCAGCAGUGUCCCAUCCAUAGUCACCUGGAAAUUCUCCAGUCAGGUAUGAAGGAGUCUGAGCUGAAAAGGGUCCCAAGUACUUCACUCUGUCUGGUCCAUACCACAACUCAUUCCCCUGCCCAAAAUCACACACAAAGCAUCAUCACCAGAACUCAAAACAAUCACACAGAACGAAAGAGACAGAGACACACACAGAGAGAGAGAGUACCAUGAUGUAUUUGCCAUUUCCCAUGGCGACACCAUCUCUGAGAGGAUUAGCAGUUGAACCCUUUUGGCCAAGAAAUGGAGUUGGCCUGAGGAUAGUACUGGAGCUAGCCAUUGAAGCCAUUGAAAGUAGAUAAUUGCAGCCUGGAAAUGUGUAGAAAGGGAAGUGUUGAGUUUAUAUGGCAGGGAAAUUGAGAAUCUCAAAAUGGGUGGCUAAGAAUGCUGGAGAUGGAAGUGGUGGUGGGGAUCUUAGAGGUUCCAAUCAACCAAUCAGGAAGCUGUAAAGGAUUUUAUGUAUCUCCAACUCAUCUCAUUUUAUCCACAUAUUAUCUUGUCUGAGCUUAGACAGUUUUUCACGCGCAUUGCCGGCACUUCUGGUAAUCUCCUGCUUGCGUUUUGAAGACUUGUGGGCUUGGAAUUUGGGGAUUUUUUAUUAUGCUUAAUUAAUAUAUGACUUUUAGUUUUUUAAUAUUUAAAACGAAAAAUUUUACAGGGAAAAUUUGCAAAUAAUUAUACCCUAUUUUAAUGGAAAAAAAAUCUAUAAAUAUAAAAUCAUUACAAACCUCCAUUGUUAAAUUUUAAAAGUUAAAAUUAAAAUAUAUUUGAAAAUAUGAGUAAAACUUUCACAAAUAUUUGUAAGGUAUAUCUUUAAAAUUUUAAUUUUUUAAAUAUUUUUAUCUAAAUUUAUAUAUUAUACUUUUAUUUUAUGUGAAUAAAUGUGGAAUACCAUGUUUUAUUUUAAUUUAGUAAGUAAAUAUGGAAAUAUCAUGUUUCCAACUUCACAUCCAAUAAUCUGUUUAUAUUGUUUUAAAAAAUAGCAAAGGAAAAAAAAUUCCUUUGUAAUUAUUUUUUAAAUCUGUUGAAAUUUACAAUUAUUUUAUUAUUUUUAUUUUUAAUUUACAAUAAUUAAUUAUUAUAAAAUUAAAUAAAGGAAAAAUAAAUUGUAAAAAUUAGAAUACGUUUGAUAAAAAUAAAAAAAAGAAACUAGAAGAAAAUAAGAGAAAAUAUAAUUAAUAUUAUUUUUGUAGUCGAGCCAUAAUAUUAUUUUAUUGUAAUUUAAAGUAAUUUAUUAAUUUAAAGAGACAGCAAAAAAUAUUGAUUCCAAUUAAAACAAAUGGACUUCCCAUAUAUGCAAAUAUUAUUAUAUGGCAAUAACACAUAUUCCUUAGUGAAAGAUAGAUGUGCUCCCUACAGCACAAAAUUUUAAAAUGCUAUAAUAGCAUAUAAAUUAAUUAUUAUAAUUUUAUUUUAUUUUAUUUUAUUUUUUAAUUUUACUUUAUUUAUAAUUAUAUUUCAAUGUUAAUGUUGUAUUUUUUUAAUGAAAUUACCUUAUACAAUAAAUGAAAUAAAAAUAAUGAUAACAUUUAAGAAGAAGAGGCAUUUGGUUGAGUGAGGAUUAAUUUUGUCAAUUUACGUGUCCCAAACAGCUAUUUUGGAUGGAAAGACUACAAAUUUAGACAGAAAAGAAAGUGAGGGACUUAAGUGUUGGGUCGCCAAAAUAGAGAGACAUAAGUGUUAAUUACGUUAAAUUUCAGGGGUUAAAAAGUAAUUUUCCCUUAAGAUUUACUUUGUCCUAACCAAACGGAAACUUUAAUAUUUUUCUUCGGCCCGACAUUUUGGGCCGAGCGGGCUCAACUUGUCAAAUCAACGGGAAAAUAAACGAAACAAGUGCCGCAGUAUAUUUAUUUUCAAUUUUAGAAUCGAUAGUGUGAUUUUAUCCUAAUUUUUAUACUAUAAUAAUUAAAUAAUAAAAUAUUUAAUGAUUAAAAUUUUAAAAAUUAUUAAUAAGUUUAUUAAAAUAUUAAAUAUGUUUUAAUAAAUUUUUUAAAAUUGAUAAAUUUUUGAAAUUAAAUAAUAAAUUUUUUUAAUAAUAAUAAUAACAAAACCCAUAGUUUUAUGUAUAUAAAAAAAAUUAGAGAGAGAUUUUGUUGGGUUUCUAAGACGAAAAUACACAACAAACAUAUGGCAGUGAGCAGUGAAGAAGGCAAAUGUGGUUUGGCAAAGGACAUGUUUGGUGAUAUGAAUUGGGAUACGUAUAAGAAGGUGUCAUAAUUGAUGAACAACCAAACAAAAAGGACGAAACUCCAUGGAAGCUGUGUUCUUCCAUCUUUAUUCACUACGCUUUUGAAUUCAGACCCACACUGUGCUUCUUGUCCCUUUCCUCCGUUCUUACGCUGCUUCCUACUUCUGUUGUCUUCAUUUCUCUCCUUGCAGUUUCCUAAAAUAUCGUUUUAUACAUGUUAUCAUACGCUCAAUCCUAUAUUAAAUUCGUUAGAUGUCAUUUUUAUUAAGGGUAAGCAUCAUUCUAUUUGAAUAAAAAAUAUAUAUCGAAUUUAUUUAAAAAUAUAUAUUGAAUCAAAAUAGGAGUGUAAACGAACUAAACUGUUCGUGAGAUAUUUGAGUUUCGGCUUGAUAAAAGUUCGAUUGAGAGAAAACGAGUUGAGUUCAAUCUCACUUUUUAGCCUCGUUUAAUAAACGAGCCGAGUUUGAACUUAGCAGUAUUCGGCUCGUUUAGACUCGCGAGCUCGGCUCGUUUUCAAAUUUAUGAACAAGUUUGGGAGCCAACUCGUGAACAGGUUCGCGAAAAAAUUCUUGAGUAGGCUCGCGAACAAUCUCGUGAGCAAUCUCGUGAGCCAACACCAAUCCUAUAUCGAAAGUUGAAAUGAUAUCAACUCUUCUAUAUUCUUUUUUAUUAGUUUUGGGUUCGUGAAACUUCAAUUAAAUAAAAAAAAUUUAAUUUAAAAGUAUCUUAAUAACCUUAUAAUUUAAAUUUAUUUAUAAUUUAAAUAAAUUUGAAUUAUAUUGAGAUUGUUUAUAAUAUAAUCGAACUCAAAUUCAAGUCUAAAUGAGUUCAAAUUUGAGUUUUUUUAAUGGAGUCUGAAUUGUUCCAUUAAUGUGAUAAACUAACUUAUUAUGAAUGAAACUCGAAUGGAAGUUGAGUUUAAUAUUUAUUUUAUAAAUUGAGCUCGAGUUUAUAAAUGAAACUCGAGUCAAGCUCGAAUUCGAAUUCGAACUCGAACUUUUAAAUUUAUUUUCUAAUCGAGUUUGAGUGUAACGGUAUGAAUGAAUCUCGAACGGAAGUUGAGUUUAAUAUUUAUUUUAUAAAUUGAGUUUGAGCUUAUAAAUGAAAUUCGAGUCGAGUUCGAACUCGAACUCGAACUCGAACUCAAACUUUUAAAUUUAUUUUCUAAUGGAGUUUGAAUGUAACGGUCAGCUGACUGCUUGUGGAAAAUCAUCCCACAUCAGCAGAUUAUAAAAAUUUUGAAUUGUAUAUAAUAGCUAGCACGAAACUAUUAAAUAAUUUGGAUUAACUAUUUUGGGUCAACCAUUUUGGGUCAAGUAGAAAGUGAGUUUAAAAAUUAUUUGGACCAAUUUUGACCGGACUGUUUUAAUUGGUAUCAGAGCUAUCUUGGAUUAUAAAAAUCAUGUGGAGCUAGUGGGUCUGCGAGAAAAGGGUUACCCGUGCGAGAUGAGGUGGAACCGUCCGAGAUACUAGCGAACCACAAUACCCGAUGAUCCGGUCCUAAUUUAGCAAUUGUAUCUGAUUUAGUUGCGAUGAGAACAUCGCAAAUUUAGUAGGAGUACCACAAUACCUGAGAAUCCGAUCCUGAUUUAGCAAUUGUAUCAGAUUCAGUUGCGAUGAGAAUGUCGCAAAUUUAACAGGGACGAGUGUGACGUUCACCUGCUAGCUUGUGUAUUCCGUUUCAUAUCGGCGAAAUACCACAAUUCUAAAUUGUAUAUAAUAGUUAGUACGAAACUAUUAAAUAACUUGAGUUAACCAAUUUGGUAAAGUGGAAAGUGAGUCUAAAAGUUAUUUGGACUAGUUUGGAUCCGACUGUUUCAAUUGAUAUCAGAGCCAGUAAGACAAAUUGUGUAGAGUUAGUGGGUCUGUAAGGAAAGGGCUACCCAUAUGAGAUAAGGUGGAACCGCCCGAGGUAUUAGCAAACCACAAUAUCCAAGAGUUUAGUCCUGAUUUAACAAUUGUAUUCAAUUCAGUUACGACAGAGACGUUGUAAAUUUAGCGAAAUCGAAUGUAACGGUCAGCUGCCUGCCUGUGAGAAAUCGUUCGCAGAUUACAAUAAUUUCGAAUUAUAUAUAAUAGUCCGUACGAAAUUUAAAUUAACUAUUUUGAAGUAAAAAAUGAAUUCAAAAAUUAUUUGUGACAAUUUAAAUCUAGCUAUUUUAUUCAACUUAUUAAAAUUCGGUUUGACUUGGUUCCGUUGAAUUAUAACUCUAAAUCAAAAUAAUUUAGAAUUUUAACUUGAUUCUGAAAUAUAAAUAGUUCUUUCGGUUUUAAAGUUUGAUAAUUUUAAUCUGAUUGAUUUGAUUUUAAUAAAAAAUUUUGGAUAAAAUCAAACCAAAUCUAAUAUUAAAUUUAAAUAACUGAUUAUUUGGUCCAGUUUUAAUAGUUUUGGGCUUUGAAUGAUUAGUUAAACAUUAUUGUACAAUUAACUGAUUUCAAAAGGGGCCUUUAUUGUGUGUACUAAGAUGGAGCCCACAUCAGAGCAGAGGAGAGGGCGUGUCGACUUCUGAUUUCUUGAAUCUGCUUUAAUUUUUGCCCUUUUGUGGUGGUACGUGUGCUCGUACUUUCAGCCAUGUGAAGAUUUUAUCGUUAUAACAAUUACUUUUAACGUUUGUAGGUGUUUUCUUAAAUAGAGAUUACGGUAAAAUCUAAAAUUUUUUAGAUUGAUUUAAAUAUAUUUAUUAUUAAAUUAAAUUUAUGAAUAUAAAAUUACGUAUUUUAUUUUUGAUUAAGAAGAAGUCUAAUUUCAGAAUUUUUCAAAAUUCAGCAAAGCAAGGGUGUAUUGAUAGUUUCACUACAUGAGUACGAAGCAAGCACUUCCACAAAAUGUGCUUUUGAUAUUAUUCUUAAAUCUAUAUUAUAUAUGAUUGAAUAAUUUGAUUCUUAUUCUGUCAUUUUCUGGGGAUUGGCAGCAAUCGUUCAAGACAAAAAGGAUAUGUUAUCUGUUCUUCCGUUGAUGUCCAUUCAGUUGAUUUCUCUCGGAAAGGAUGUAGCUGCUAAGAAAAAGCUGUUGCCUUUGAGCUUGUUAAUUGAUUAGGUAUAAAGAAGCAUCUUUGGGUUCUGAUAUCAUGGCCUUGUAUUCCUUGGUUUGUCUUCAACCAAAUCUCAUUUCUCAUUUAGAAAAAAAAAAAAAGUAUGGACUUGACUGAGUCAGUGCCUUCAUCCACUCAAUUGAUAUGAACUGGUAUAUCAAAUGAAUAAUAUUUAAAUAAGUAAUUAAAAUAAUUUAAAUUAAAUUAAAUUUCUAAUGUAAAUAUAAUUUUUAAUGAUAAUAUUAAUUUAAUGAAUAAUUUUAUGUGUUAACUUAACACGAUGAAGUGAUAUGUCUAGAAUAAUCAAUAAUUUUUAAAAUCGCUAAAGUAAUGAUAUGCUGAUCAUAAUCUUUGGAAUCGUUAAAGUGAUGGUGAUGCUGAUUUGAUGGGCCACCUUAGUAAUUUACUUGUCAUUAUUUGUCCAUUAUUGCAAUGAGAUUACUCGCAUCAAACACAUUAACAUCUUCGUAAAAGAAAGAUAUGAACAUUUCCUCCUCUAAUUUUCUUUUUUUAAUUCUCAUAUUGUGGUUUAAUUAAUUUAAUUAGCUACUAUUAAUGCUGAAACGUCCCACAUAAAAAAAUUAUAGGGAACGGAAAUUAUAAAUUGUAUAUAAUAAUUAAAUAUAAAAUUAUUAAAUAAUUUAAAUUAAUUAUUUUAAAUUAAAUAAAAAAUAAAUUUAAAAAUUAUUUAAAUUAAUUGAAUAAUUGAAUAAAUGACAAAAUAGCUAUUGGUUCAAUUAGAUUUAAUAUCUAACUUUUUAUUUUUUUUUUUUUAAAAUUGUAACUAUUCCGUGUGUGCAUGCAUUUAAAUUAGAUAUUUUUAUUCAGAUCAAUUUUUAUUUUUAAAAAUUUCAGUUAUUUUGAUUUGUUUUAAUUUUAAUAAUAAAAAUUAUAAAUUAAAAAAUCGAUUAGUAAAUAGUAAUAUAUUAUUUUUUAUAAUAUAGGGAGAUUAAAUUAUAAUAAAAUUGAAAUAACUUUUUUAAAACACUAAAAAUAAAAUGUAAAAAAUAAAAAUUUCACUAAAAAUCUAACUAAUCAAAUUAAAUAAGACCAAUUUAAUUUAAUUUAAUUUCUAUUCAAAAUCAAUUUAAUUUUUAUAAAUAUCAAAAUUUUAUUUAAAUCAGACUAAUUCAAUUUAAUUUAAUUUCUAUUUAAAAUCAAUUUAGUUUUUAUAAAUAUUAAAAUUUUAUUUUUCUAUUUAUUCGGUUCUUUUAAACUAAACCGACCGAAUACUCACUCCUGAAUAUAUGUUUUAUUAAUUAAAUUUAUUUUUUAAAAAAACAUGAAAUAUCAUAUUUGAGUUUUAUGUUAUAAAAUAACAGAUUAUCAGUGACGGAAAUUUCCAUCGCUGAUAAUGCAAAAUCUUUCAAUGAAACUUUUAGUGACGAAUUUUCGACAGUCCAAAAUCAAUCAUUUAAAGUUUUAUUUGAAAACUGAUUCAAAAUAUUACACUUUAAUUCUAAAUACUUUAUACAAAUUGAGAUCUGAAAAUUUAUGCAAACCAGACCAAGUCAUGAAUCUUGUUUUUUAUUAUUUGAUUCAAGAUAUAAGAGCAUUCUUUUAAUAAAGUCUCACAUUACUUUUGAUAGAAGACCUAAGAUGAUUGUCUGUUUUUUUUACAACCGAUUAUAUCUUGUGAUUGAGUGAAUUUAGGAUGUUAAAUUAGAAAGUGAUGAUUCUACGGAUAUAAAAAAUUAUCUUAGCAUUUGAUCAGAACAUGGGGAUAUAAGAAAUUAAAUUGCAGUAGAUGUACAUUUCGCACUUGAAAAAAUUAUUCAAGCAACAAAAUAGAAAAUACUAUGCUUGCAUGUUCGUCCAUAGAUCAAAUUAGAUAUGUAAUUAUUGAAAUAAAUGUUGAAAACUCUAAUAAUGGAUAUACAAAUAUGAUAACUUAUAUACUUUUCUAUAUCUCCAUGAAUCUAGAAAUUUUUACUUGUAUUAUAUUAUUUAGUUUACGUAUCGGAACUGAUAACAUUCGAGAUUAUACAAGAUUAUACACGAAAGAUCUUUUUUUGAAUAUUUCUUUAGCCCUAUAUCUCUUAUCCCUAGAAGGUCUUCUUCUACUGGUAGGUUUUUUUCGAAAAACUCCAUUUAUUCUGGUGUGAACUUACGAGUGUUAUUUCCAUCUACUAUUAUCUAAAAAUAAUAAGUUAUUAAUGACGGGACAAAACAAAGAAAUAACCCCUCACAUGUAAAAUUAUAAAAGAUUCCUUUAAAAUCAAAUAAUUUCAUCAAAUUGAAUAUAAUUGUAUGUAUAAUAGCAUCUAAAUAUCAACCUUAUAACACUAACAUAUAAAGGGUGGUAAAACAAGUAGUGACGAGAGGCGACCUUAACUCUUUUUAUUAACCACUUGUCACUUAUAGCGACGACAGCUACGAGUGGUGAUGAGAGGAGAGGAGUCUAGCUCAAGCGUUGCAAAGAGAAGAGGAGUUGAUCUUGGGCAUGGCUACAAGUCAGCGUCAGGGUCGCAAAAUUGGUACAAUGACAGAAAUCUCAUGGGAGAGAGUGAGAAUAUGCAACAGCGAGAGUUGAAAUUUUAGAAAAAAAAAUAUUAAGAGCUUUUUUUAAUUAUUUUUUGUUGAAACAAAAUCCGCUGUAAAUAUUCAAUUUUUUUAGUGUUAAUUAUUAGAAAUGGCAACAGUUCGAAUAUUUUUGGUAUCGAUUUGACUGAAUUCUAAUAAAAUGAAUUUAAGUAUUUAUAAUUAAGUUUGGGACGAAUUUUAAUUUAAAAAAUAAUAUCAGUCGUAAAUUCAGAUGGAAUUUGAAUUUUAUAUAUAAAAUAUUUAAUUAUAUAUAUAAUUAUUUUAGUAUAAAAAAUAUAUUUUACAAUAAUAUUUAUAAAGUUUUAUAUAUUUUUUAUUUUAAAAAUAUUAAAUUUUUUAAAUAAAAAUUAUUAAUAAAAAAUAUUAUAUAUAUAAAUUAUUAAUUAAAAUAUAUAAGACUAAAUGAAUUCGAAUAAUAAUAAUACGAAUCCAGAUAGUUUAAAUUAAUUUUUAAUUGAAUUCAAAAUGAGUUUAAAUAUUACUAAUAUAAAUAAAAUUUAAAUUCAGAUAAUUUAAUUUUCACGAGUAAUCUAUCUUAUUAAUUACACUAACAAAUAUUUUCUAUUAUCAGAUAAUUAAUAACAUUCAUGGAGGCAGAGUUGUAUUGAAAAUAUAAAUAAUAAAAAUUCAAAACAUAACUGCUUAGUUAUAAUAUUAAAUUAACUUUUCAUAUUUUGAUGUAUAAAAAUCCAAUUGUUUAUAUAUAAUUAAGUUCAUAUAAAAAUGAUUGGUCAGUAAGAUAUAUAAAAUACUAUAUGAAUUUAAUCCCAGUCAGAAUUAAUUAUAAAAAACACAUUACAUAAAUUUAAUAUGAUUGGAUGGUAGGUUUUAAUUAGCCACUAUAUAAUUGGCUAAUAUUUAAUUAAUAUCAAUUAAUGUCAAGUGAGUUGGAUAAAAAGUUUCAAAUUGGAAAUGCAAAUGAAAUGUUGUCUUUCAUAUUGAAUUGCCUUAAUCAUUUUACUAAAAACAAUUAAUCUCUAAUUUCUCCCUGUUUAACAAGAGCGGAUGAUGGCAAUUGAAAGGGCAAUCUGGUACAUUUAAAAAGUCGUACGUUCAAAAUUCACCAAGUUCAGUACAAGCCUCUGAAAAAAAAAACAUAAAAAAUCCUUUACAUAUAGCACUCUCCAAACAUUAGGACAACACCCACCCCCACAAACUUCCCUUGUCCACCAAAUACUUCUCUCUCUUUCUCAUGGCUACUGAUCAUCAAGAAAUCACACGUGCAUCGCACAUGCAUGAUUUCACAGACGAGGAUAGCCAAAAUGGAGGAAUAGAAGAAGAGAUAGAAGAUGAGGAGGAAGAAAGCACACGGGAUUACAUAAGUACGCUUUUCAAGGGUGGUGGCCAUGGUGGGAGUGGUGGCGGCGGUGGUGGAGGUUCUCGACGAAAAGGGUGGUCUUUAGGGCAAAUGUUGGACCCUAAAGCUAGAUGGAUUCAAGAAUGGAAUAGGGUUUUUCUUCUAGUGUGCGCCACUGGACUUUUUGUGGAUCCUCUCUUCUUCUACUCUCUGUCUGUUAGCGAUACCUGUAUGUGUCUCUUCAUCGACGGGUGGUUUGCUAUCAUGGUAACGGCUCUCCGGUGCAUGACUGACGCCUUGCACGUGUGGAACAUGUGGUUGCAGCUCAAAAUGGACAAGAAACUAUCUACUGGCGGCGGUAGUACCAAUGAAACUAGCGGUGGACCACGCUUGACAAGCCCUAGAUCAAUGGCCCUGAGGUAUCUCAAGGGAAAGAGAGGAUUUUUCUUUGAUCUGUUUGUCAUCCUCCCCCUUCCCCAGGUGAGAUUUUAUUUUCCCUUAAAACCCCAUUAAUGAUAAUUAAGAAUCAUGAUCACUAAUUAUCAUUAUAAUCAUCAGAGAUCAGCAUCAACUUCUUAAACACAUUCACAUUUUUGGUUAAGGAUUUUUUUGUCAGUGAUUUUGAGAAGGUGACAGAUUUAUGCAUGCAGGAUAUCUCCAUGGAGUGCAGAGCCUCCAUGUGAUUUAGCUAAUAGCAAUGUCCUUUGUUCAUGUAGCAAAGGGAAAAAUGAGAAAUAUAGAAACCAAACAAUGAUUUCCUGUAUAGUAUGCCUUGUCUUUUCUCUUUAUUAAACUGAUUGGAGUUUUUUUGUUAUUAAAUUUAUUUAUUUAUUAUUUCCUUUAAGAAUAGGGCUAGAUAUAAGACUAAUGGGACUAAUUUUGCCUGUUAACGUUUCGCACAUAAUCAUGAGUAGCUGGAAUUCGGACAAGUUAGAUGCAUUGUGUAUAUAUGGAAAAUUUUUCACAUCAACCAAUAAAAUAUUAAUAUCUCAGAAUAUUAGGUGGACUUAUUAUAAUUUUGAAUAGUAUUCGUCAUGCUUUCAAAUAAUAUUAAAUGGCCCCAAUUACACUUACCAUAUAUUUUUAUUCACAUAAUAUUUCAAAUAAUAUAUAUAUUUUUUUAAUUUUAUUCACAUAAUAUAUAUAUAGCAGGAUAAAACCAGUUAGAAGCUAGAAUGGUUUAAGGUAAAAUUAGAAUGAAAUUGAAAUUUAUUUAAAUUAUUUAGCUUGAUUUAAAUUGAAUUUUAAAAACUGGAAUUGAAUCAAAAUCAAAUUUAUGGUCUAGUUCUCAUAUAUCCACCAUUCUUGAAACUAUAUUGCCAUUCUAAGUUGAAAUAAAUUCAAAACUUAAAUUUCGAAUUUGAGGAUGAGAGACUAAUCUAAAAAUUAGAUGUUUGAAAAAAAGUAAAUUUAAUGUUAAAUUAAUUUUUCGAUGUAUUAUAACUUUAACAUAUAUUUUAGAAGAGUUUUUUAAAAUAUUAAUUUUAACAAUUAUACUAAAUAAAUUUAGAAAUUAUCAGGAGAUGUGGAACAAUAAUAUUAAUUCCUUAAUCUUUAUGCAAAAUGAAGUGUCAUGAUAUGUCAGAUAUAUAAUAUCAAGAAUUAAAAUAUAAAAAUUUUUUUACUCUCUUCUGUAUUACAUAGCUAAUUUUUUUUAUGAAUUAUAUUUUUUGUGGUUGAAUCUUUACAGUCUUUAAGUAUUAUAUUGAUGCAAUAUAUAUUUUAGUUCUUGAACAAAAGCAAUCCAAUUAAAAUGGCAGAUAGUGCUAUGGGUGGCAAUUCCUUCCUUAUUGGAGAAAGGUUCAGUGACAGCAGUGAUGACCAUAUUCUUGAUCAUAUUCCUCUUCCAAUAUCUUCCAAAGAUCUACCACUCCGUUUGCCUCCUUCGUCGCAUGCAAAAUCUCUCUGGUUACAUUUUUGGAACUGUUUGGUGGGGAAUUGCCCUCAACAUGAUUGCAUACUUCGUUGCCUCCCAUGUAAGCUCACUUCUUUCUCUCUCUCUCUCUCUCUCCUUUCAGAUGCCAAGUCUUUUUUUCGCAAUUGGGUUCUGGAGAUUCUCCAAGUUCCUGAUCCCUAGCUCUCUCUGGAAAUGUUACAGGCAGCAGGUGCAUGUUGGUACUUACUAGGGAUCCAAAGGGCAGCAAAAUGCAUGAAAGAACAAUGCAGAGAAACACACGGUUGUGGGCUGAGGUUAUUAUCUUGUAGAGAAACUAUUUACUAUGGAACAACAAGAAAUGUGAGAGAUGGAGCAAGAUUAGCAUGGGCAGACAAUAAGUUAGCCAGGGCUACAUGCUUAGACAGCAGUGAUAAUUAUGACUAUGGAGCUUAUAAAUGGACUGUUCAACUCGUCACCAACAAUAGCAGAUUAGAGAAAAUACUCUUUCCUAUCUUCUGGGGCCUAAUGACUCUCAGGUACUAUUUUCAUUUUAUCUUUUUUCUCUGAAGGAAAACAAAUAAAUAAGAUUAGCAUUUUUAACUCUUAGUGCAUGAUCAGCACUUUUGGAAACCUGGAGUGCACAACAGAAUGGUUGGAAGUUGUUUUCAACAUCAUUGUUCUUACAAGUGGACUCAUUUUGGUCACCAUGUUGAUUGGAAACAUCAAGGUAAUAAUAAUUUUUUAUUGGGUUCCAAGCUGAUGUGGAUGCCGCCUCUUUUUUUCUUCUCAAUCUUUUAAUUGUGUUGUUUUGGGCAUGAAGGUUUUCUUGCAUGCAACAACAUCAAAAAAGCAAGCAAUGCAGUUGAAAAUGAGGAAUAUAGAGUGGUGGAUGAGGAAGAGACGCAUGCCUCAAGAAUUCAGGCACCGUGUUCGAAACUAUGAGCGGCAGCGGUGGGCAGCAAUGCGAGGCGUCGAUGAAUGUGAGAUGAUCAGGAACCUCCCUGAGGGACUUAGGAGGGAUAUCAAAUAUCAUCUCUGCCUGGAUUUAGUAAGGCAGGUAAUUGUUCCACCAUUUCACCAUCAAUUUUUAACCUCCUAGGCCCUUUUCUGUCUCCAGCACAAUUCCCAUCUUUCACAAUGCAAGCCCAAUUGCAAAUUUCUAGCCCAAUUGCAAUGGGUCUGUAUAUGCAAGCAUAAAUUUCAACCUCUUAAAUCUGUAUCAGGUCCCGCUUUUCCAACAUAUGGAUGAUCUGGUCCUCGAGAACAUUUGCGACCGUGUGAAGUCUCUCGUUUUCACAAAAGGAGAAACAGUAAGUUCCAUAAUGUCACCGAGUUUUAGCGUAAGAGUUUAUUGUAAUGUUAGGCAUCUAAGUGUUGUUGCAGAUAACUAGAGAAGGAGACCCUGUCCAAAGAAUGCUAUUUGUGGUGAGGGGUCAUCUCCAGAGCAGCCAAGUUCUGAGAGAUGGCGUCAGGAGUUGCUGCAUGUUAGGUCCUGGGAAUUUCAGUGGCGACGAGCUAUUGUCCUGGUGCCUAAGAAGACCCUUUAUAGAACGUUUACCACCAUCUUCAUCGACACUAGUGACCCUAGAGACAACAGAGGCAUUUGGGCUGGAAGCUGAAGAUGUGAAAUAUGUGACCCAACAUUUCAGGUACACAUUUGUUAAUGAAAGAGUGAAGAGAAGUGCGAGAUACUAUUCACCAGGAUGGAGAACUUGGGCAGCUGUGGCAAUUCAAUUGGCUUGGAGAAGGUAUAAGCAUCGUUUGACGCUUACUUCAUUGUCGUUUAUAAGGCCAAGAAGACCUUUAUCUCGCUGCUCUUCCUUGGGGGAGGAGAGGCUCAGGCUUUAUACAGCUUUGUUAACUUCACCCAAGCCAAAUCGGGAUGAUCUUGACUUUUGAAAGCAGAAAAUAAGAAAAUUUGCUCAUGUAUGGAUAUUUCAGAAGGCAAAUUAAGAGUAACAAUGAUGAAAAUUUCUUUAAAUUUCCAUUUUUGUUUUCUAACUAGUUAGAUGAAACAGAUUACAAGAAAAAGCAGAAUUGUUUUCUAAGGAAACAAACAUUACGCAGUCACAGUAUCCAAGGCCUCCAAGUCUGUAAAUUGAUUAGCCUCAUCAAGUUCAGGAGCAGCAGAUCCCCUGAAUAACAAAAUUGCGAGGCUGCCAAUCUGAAAAUAAAUAAAACAUCCACAGCAGUGGGUCACAAAAGAAGCAAAAUCUGUUCCCACAAUGCAUUGCCAUCCAGCUCCAUAUGAAGUAUCAAAUUGCUGCAUCAAGAACAACCCAAAAAAAUUUCAGCAUUUUACAUUACAAAAGAUAAAAUAAAUCUUAUUAUAUUAGAAAUAAACUUAUGAGUUAAAAUUUUACCUUCUUAAUGAAACGAGCAAUCUCAGUAGCCUCAGUGACAUCAAAGAAAUCGAGGGCUUUGGCUGCAAGAUCAAGAGCAUCUUGUUGCAUGGUUUGAAGCAUAUCACUCUCACCAACAACUGCCUUGCCCUCUAGCAUGGCUAGCUAAUGAGAUUUAAUUUCUCGAAGGGAGCUGUUGGUGGCCAAGAAGCAAACUGUUUGAUAAUUUUUGGAAGCCGGAUUAGUUAGUUACUUCUUGUGGAUGAAGUUUAUACCCAGUUAGGGAAUAUAAGGGCUGGUGCUGGUGGGUCAGCCACCUUUGUGGCGGUAUGGAAUUAUGCGAUUGAAGAAUUUGAUACUCUGAUAGCAAAUGGUUGAAAAAUUCCAGUAUUGUUAUCUUGUGCAGCAUAUGUGAGGUCUGGGGCCUGGAGGGAGGGUGUUACUAGAGGAGGAGGGAGGUCUGCUGCUAAGUAACAAAGAUUUUUGGCCCCCUUAUUAUCUUUGACGCCUGGUUCGUUUUUGGUGGUUUAUCUAUAGAAUUUCGCCACGUGUCAGCAGGCAACUUGCGAUUUCUUGUCCACUCCAAGUGUGGUCUGGAUUCUGUAGGAUUGGAGGGUAGGAAUACAUUGACAAAUUCGCUGAUAUCACUUAUAUUAAUUUAUUUUUCUUGAUUUAUAAAGAGUAUGAGGGAGCACAUGCGUUAAAUAAUUUCUUUUUUUAUAUGAUAAUUUAUUAUUAAAUAAAUAUUUUAAUUAAGCAGGUCUAAAGUAUUAUAACUACAAAUAAUUUUCUUUUUCUUUUUCCAAAUUUUUUUUUUACUUUUUGAAGUUGUAAUUGCCUUGUGAUAUUUCAUAUAUGUAAUAUGUUUAUUGCUGAGAUGGUCUAUAAUUUUUGGUAAAGAAGACAAAGUGGACUGAUUUUUGGGUAAUUGAUGUUUCAAAAAACUCUCUAGGUGUGGGGGUUUGCUGCAUGAGUUUUCAUAAUCAGUCGAGGAAAACAUGACACUUGCUAAUGUCAUGGAACUACGUAGAAAGACGGAACUCUCCAACUAUUGUGGAGAUUCUUUUUUUUUUUUUUUUUUUUCCGGAAGACGAGAGUUUUUCAUUGAUAAAAGAAGACUGUUUGUGUAAGGAAAAAGGGAUAAGGUCCAAGAUCUCUAGGCCCAAUAAAAAAUAAAAACAACCUCCUGAAGCCCAUCCUAAGAAAAUCUGUUGAUAAUUUUAAUAGAUUAGAAAAACAUUUUUAAUUUAAACGGGAGUUUUGUUUUUACUUUUAGAUUAAUUUGUUUUGAUUUAAGUUUUAUUUUUACUUUUAGAUUAAUUACUGUCCUCCUCUCUUCUUCUUUCUCACUAAAAAUUAAAAUAAUUAAACUACCAUCUAAACUUAGAAACAACACAUAUAUUCAGAUCCCAACAAACCAUCCCUUCUCCUUUCCUUCAUUUUCUCUCCACCGUCGACUACCCGAUCUUGGAUUCAUUUCCCGUCAUUCUUCUUUUCUCAUCCAUUUCUAUCUUUAUUAACUCUUUCUUCUCCUUUUUUUUCUUUAUUUAAUUCUCUCCCAUUUGCCUUCCUCCGCCCUGUGUUGUGAUUUAUCCUUUUCUUUUUCCUUUUUCUGAGGCAGCGAGACGGGGUUCUGCUCCAGCAGAAUGAAGCCGCGUCUCUUUGCCUGCUUUGGCAAGUGCAACUGCUCCUCAUUCUCCUCCGUCUAUCACGUGCAUGAAAAGGGGAAUAGCAACGGGACAGCAGAUGCUUCACCGGAGGAGCAGCGACGUGCUGGUGCCAUAUUGGUGGAGCUAUUCUCAUCACAGGGUUGUAAGACUUCGCCGGAGGGUGAGUUAUUGGUGUCAAGGCUAGGGAGAGGAGACUUUGCCCUUGAAUCGCCAGUCAUAGUGUUGGCAUUUCACGUUGAUUAUUGGGACUACAUGGGGUGGAAGGAUCCUUAUGGCUCUAGCCAAUGGACUGUUAGGCAAAAAACUUACGUUGAGGCUUUGAACCUUGACACCAUGUUUACACCUCAAGUUGUUGUCCAGGGUAGGACUCAGUGUGUGGCCAAUGAAGAGGAAGCUCUUUUGUCUUCCAUCAUGAGUGCACAAAAAUUUCCUUCACCCAACUUUCAGGUAUCUUUCCCUUUUUCUUUCAGGCAAAUUCUUAGUCCAUUAGGACAGACAUUGAAGUGGGCCACAUCAAGUAUUUAGGAUUCUGGCAAUAUAUUUUUCCAGGCUUUUUGUUGACAAUUGACAAGUUUGCUUUAACAGGUAACCUUCCAGAGGCCAACGUCAGAAUCCUUGCAAGUAAAUUUAACAGGAACUUUAAGGACUAAAAUUGACAACAAAGGGGCCAAUAUAAUGGUGGCUCUCUAUGAGAGUGGAUUGGUGAACGAUUGCCCGGCAGGGGAGAACAUAGGGCUUGUCUUGUCUAAUGACUACGUGGUUCGAAAGCUUGAAAAGCUCUGCACUGUCAAGGACAUAUCUGCCAAGAAGACAGUUUCAGGAACUGUUGAUUUUUCCGUUUGGGAAGGCUUCAAUAGCAGUAAAUGUGGUAUUGCUGUUUUUAUUCAAGAUAACUCCCAUCAAAUUUUUGGUUCACAGAACUUCCACUUGCCAGAUAAUAUAUGAGCAUUCAGAUUCAUUUCAUUUGUUGAAGAACUAAAUGUACUCUGGCUUAAAUCUUAGGCAUCAAUUUUCUAUUUUUCUUUCCUUUCCUUUUUUAAAAUUUUCUUUCUCAAUGGUUUUAUAUGGUAGGAGAUGUAGAGAGACAUUUUACACUUCAAUCAUAUGAAUUUCUUUCACAGCUGUGGAUUUCACUAGCAAUGCCUCUAUGGAAUUAAUGGUAAUGGAUCUUCAUAUUCAAAUUUCAGUGUUUAGAUCUGAUUAUGUGAUCAUGUUUCAAACUCAACGUCACUAGAUUAAUUAAGCAGAACGUAAUCCACACUGCAAAAUGUCAAGUGUUUUUGUUUUAUUCUGCUUCGGGAAAACUUAGUAUGUCUUUGCAGAGAGAGCUUUUGGGAUGUGCUAGUGUCUUCCUCUGUUGGUCUUUUAAGCAUUUCCAUCUGAAUUUGGGUCAGCUCAUCCUCAAAUUUUUUUCUAUAUCUUGGUUCUUAUUGUGAUGCUUUGUUGCACCUAAAGAACUUGCGAGGAGUUUUAACUUGAAUCGUUGAUGACCAAAUUGCAGUCUUCUGCAGAAGAAGAGGAACUCAUGUGAGAUCACAUGUAGUAAGGGAAAAAAAUCAAAAAGAUUCCGUUGCCGGGAAUCGAACCCGGGUCUUUCGGGUGAGAGCCGAAUAUCCUAACCAACUAGACUACAACGGAUUUCUGAACAAAUUUCUAAAACAACAAAUAUGUCAGGGAGGAUUAGGUAAAGUAGCAUAGCUAUUAUAAAUUUAUUGUUUGUUUGAUAAAGUAACCUAGAUUAAAUCAAAACCAUGAGUGAUUGAAUCUUUGAGCCAAAUCUUAAAAGGGCCCCAGUAAAAUUGCACAGGUGGAAGAUGGGUAGAACCUAGAGGAAGUGCUUAUACCUUUUAUAAAGUUGGGAUAAGGGUAACAAAUUCAAGUCUGUUUUACAUUAAUGUCAAAAUGGUUAUUUAAGAAAAAAAUGGAUUAUAUAAAUUAAAUUUAAAAUAUUUUAAUGACAAAAUAUUCAAAUAAAUAUUAAAAGUUUUUAGUGUCCUUAUAGAGAGAAAUAUAAAAAAUACUGGAUUAAAAUAUAGAGAAAGAAGAAAAAAUAGAGAAAGAGAAUGAUAAAGAAAAAGAGAAGACAAUUCCGGUGUUAGAGUUGCUUUCCCUUGGCGAGUGGCGACUUCCCUACUCAUAAUUUUUUGGUAGUUAUAGUUUUAUUUUGGAAUUUUGGAUUUGCUAUAACAUAAAAUUUUAUCUUUAUUUUUAGUUAGUAUUUCUUUUCUAUUUUCAAUGGCUGGCGAUUUUAUUUCAUGCAGAUGGUAUCGUUGGCUGCUUUAUUUAGCAGUUAUCGAAAUAAGGAUUGACCAGUAAUAAUUGAAGCUAGAAUUUAGUAUUUAGCUUUUUGAAGUGACUCCAUAGUGUUAUGAGACUGAAAAUACUAUGGAUUGAUAUGAUUUCUUGUGAUCAUUGAUGGGUGAGAGCAGUUAUGUUGGGUAAUUAUUUCUGUUUGCAUGAUUAUUUCUUUGUCCGGUUAUCUCUUUUUGAAACAUUUUACUUUGUGUCUUUACUUUGUAUUUUUCUGAAUUGCGGUCGCUUUGCUUUGCUUGGGUGGUGGACAAUGAAAAUGCGACGAGAAUGAUUAGGAAGUUUUUUUUGCUGAUUAAUCGUUCAUUGAUUGUUUUGAUCAGUGCAGUGAACAGAGACUUUAAUUGCUGAGUCUUCUAAUUGUUUUUAAAAUAUCGGUACCAUUUGAUUUUUGGGCUGAACCAUAUCAGUUGUCUGGAUUUCUAUUAAUUUCUUUUGAUUUGGGAUCUUUGGGUUGGCAUUCUACUCUUUACUCUUAGAGCAUUUUAAAUGCAAUUUUCUUGCAUUAAAAAAAAANNNNNNNNNNNNNNNNNNNNNNNNNNNNNNNNNNNNNNNNNNNNNNNNNNNNNNNNNNNNNNNNNNNNNNNNNNNNNNNNNNNNNNNNNNNNNNNNNNNNNNNNNNNNNNNNNNNNNNNNNNNNNNNNNNNNNNNNNNNNNNNNNNNNNNNNNNNNNNNNNNNNNNNNNNNNNNNNNNNNNNNNNNNNNNNNNNNNNNNNNNNNNNNNNNNNNNNNNNNNNNNNNNNNNNNNNNNNNNNNNNNNNNNNNNNNNNNNNNNNNNNNNNNNNNNNNNNNNNNNNNNNNNNNNNNNNNNNNNNNNNNNNNNNNNNNNNNNNNNNNNNNNNNNNNACAAUCCACCUAUUAGUGGAUUGAAUUGAAAUUAUAAGUUUGAAAUUUUUUAAGAAUUUUUAAAAAUCUUCUUCAUAAAAUACAGUCAGCCCUCAAAUACAGAUUUAAGGUUUAAAAUUGAAAAAAAAAAAAAACUUUUUCAUUACUUUAUAAAAUUUCUUUUCAAAUAAAAUGUUAGAUGAUUCAAAUAAAUUUAAUGCUCUGAGAUUCAGAAAAUAGAAUUUACAGUGGUUGUGUAAGUUUGGUCGAAGAGGAGAGUGUUCCUUCCUUUUUAUUUCUUUUUUAUCUGUUAGUGACGCCGAACGGUUUCUCUGCUACAGUGCCACCUGUUUAUGUUACGCAGAUCCGUACGUACGAAAAUGUCAAACGCCAUUCCCAAGCCAGACAGCCAUUUAAUUUUCUUUGACGCGCGUAUUGACGAUACUGCGAAGUGACUGGGCCUGCUGUCCUUCCUUGUGUUGCGUCACCGGACUAAACUUCUUCCUAUUGGGUUUGAGCUUGUAAGUGACCCAGUUCGCUCUGCUUAUCCGGAUCAGGGCUAAAAGUGUUGAACCGGUCUGUCGGGGAAGUUUCAUAGGCUUUGGGUCAGUAUUACUUUCUUGGACCCGACCUCAUUCGGAGACGCGUGAAACCCGAUGGUUAUCAAAACUCAUGAGUAAACUCUAUUAUACUUUAAUGGUUAUCUAUUUUAUGUAGGUUCUUUAAUUACGAUAGCUAUUUAUAUUGCUUUGGAUUUAAUAAUAAUAUUUUGAUUUAUUUGUUGAAAAUAAGAAGUUGGGAAAAAAAUCUAAUUUAUAAAUCUGAACUUAAAUGAGUUUUUAUUCAGGUUAAACGUAUAAAUGAUUCGAACUUAACAGAUUUUUGAAAAUUUUAAAUUUAGUUUGAUAAAAAUUUUUCAAUUUUGAAAGCUUAUUAAGUUCGAGUUUGCAUGUUAAACUCAAAUCGAAUAUUAAAAAGAAUUUAAACUUUAUUCACUUAGCAAAUGAGUUCUGCGUUUUUAUGGAAUGUAAUCUGGAAUAAUUUAGAAACAGUUUAAUCUAUUUAUAAAUAUAAUAAAUUUUAAUUUAAAAUUAAAUAAUUUUGAUUAAAUAAGUAUAUAUAUAUAUAUAGAAAAUAGCUACUAAACAAAUAAAAUAUGAGUUUUUAAUUGUAUAUUUGUAAAUUUUAAAAGUAUAAUUAAAUUGUGUACGAGUGAAACUUUAAACAACUCAAAUUUAGUUUAUAAAAUUUUUCUCAAUAGUGUUUUUGUCAUUUGAUCCAAUAGCGUUCCGUUAGAUAGGUACAGAUUUGAUAAAUACUGAUAACUCUCGGAUAGAGUAUUAGAAUGGAAAAAUCCAUUAGAUAAUGAACUAUUGGUUCUAAGCCAUCUCUGGCGAUGAAUCAACAAUUCGAAGCGCUUUUCUUGCAUAUUCUUAAUAAACCAGCGUUUAUAUAUAGAUGUAGGAGGAUCUGUUUGGGAAGUAAGAAGCCCAUUUGACAUCUCUUUAUCUGCAAAGAAUUCUCGAUGUGAAAACACAGAGACAAAGGGCUGAUAUUUGAAUAGGAAAAAGAGUGGAUCCGCAGGGUCCCAAAUGAAUUGGCUUAUUCGAAAAAAGCCUUUUUCUUUGGAAAAUCUAUCUCGUAUCUGGUACUGCAUGGUUCCACUAUGCAAGAACUCCGAAUCAUUCUCUUGAAGCUCAUCCUCUUCAUCAUAGAUGAUCUCUUCAUCAUAGAUGAUCUCUUCAUCAUAAAUGAUCCACUUGCCCCAAAAUGACCGGCCCAAUAGAGAAAUCCCAAUUCAUUGGGCCUUUCAAUACAAUCAAAUAGAAACCCCCAAGGACGCCAUAUUCUAGGAGCCCAAACUAUGUGAGUGAAUAAAUCCUCCUCUAUCUAUCUAUUUACAAUUCAAUUUGCGAGCUCAUGAACUUAUAAAUGAGCCGAACUAAAUAUUAUAGAGUUCAAAUAUAACUUAUUUAUUGAAUAAAUUUAAAAAUAAAAUUAUUUAAAAAAUUUAAUCGAAUUAAAUUUUUUUAUCGCCUCAAAUCUUGAAUAGCUUAUAAAUAAUUUAUUUCAUUUUCACUGCAAUCCGUCUGAUAGGCUUAAUUCAUCCUUUCCCUUACACCAACGAGAAAUAUCUUCUUCCCAUCUAUGUAACACAUUUCAUUAAUCUGUUAAGAAAUAAAAUUUAAAAUUAAUUGGUCCCAGAGUAUUUCUCCACCUCGCUCAUUUAAUGGAACAGUAACAGAGGAGACAUGAAUGGAACAGAAGAAUCAUGGGAAGGGCUAUUCCUAUUUUACAACUUCUCAUUAAUAAUAAUAAUAAUAAUAAUAACAAUAAUGAAUAAUCUCCAUAAAAAUUAGAAAAAAAAAACAUUUCCAGAGUCAGAUUAGCCUACUGUUGUGCACACAACGCAGAACUAAACAUUGGGAAAAUUACUUUACCUUUACAGAGAGAGCUUUCGGGAUGUGCUCGUGUGCUAAUUUAAGGUAAUAAAUCCAAUUGUUUAGUCAUCUUCUGGAAAACAUUGGGAAAAUUAGUAUAUCUUUACAGAGAGAGAUUUGAGGAUGUGCUUUACGUAGGGAAAUCUUCCUCUGUAUGGUCCUUAAAGCAUUUCCGUCCGAAUACGGGUAUUAUAAUAAAAGAGAAAGCAAAAAGACCAUGUGCGAUUGAAUCUUUGAAUAACAAUAAUAAUGAAUAAUCUCAUAGAAAAAAUCCACAGUAAGAUAAGCCUACUGUAGGAUACACAGAAGACAGAACAGAGAAUUAAGUUUUUCUAAACAUAAAAGUUAAAUCAGCUAAAAUAACGAAUACAAGCUCGCCUAAAUUAGGGUAAAAAUGAGAUCACAGCAUAUAGGACCGCAAAAGAGAAUGUCCAGAGGAUGCAACUGAAAAUUCAUUACAAAAAUAGAAAAGAUACAUCUCUUGCGAAUGACUACAAGAAAACCAAUUGACUAUAUUAUUGAUCAAGUAUAACUUCAGCUAAAAACUAAUACAAAAUCUAGCACCCAUAUUCCUAAAACACACAAAAUAAAGCUGAUGGUAUUGAUUUAUUUUUAUCUUAUAAAACAAAUUCCAUUAUCUAGGAGGAGGGUAAAGCCCCAAUUUUAAACAUUACCCUAUUUUUUUCCCCUUUGGUAUAUGACUGCCACGCCAAUCUUCACCACCACUCACCAGAUCCAUGAAUUGACGAGAGAUCCAAUUCCUCAUAAAUCUCUUUCACUGGCAGAAGCGAUUAGGCAAAGAGCAAAACCCAUCUCAUGUCAAGUGUCUGUAGCUUCAACCUUUUGUCGAGCCAAGUACUUCUCUCUCCGCUCUUUCUGAAGAAUACAUAUAAAAAAUGGCAUAUAAAAUACAAUUAGACAAAGAAAAAGAAAUUUUUUUGUUCGAGGGAAAUAAGAUAAUAAACAUACCCAUCCAUCUGUUACAAGACCUUCCCCAACAACACGAGGCCCAGUGUCUGGUGGAGAUUUCUUACGAUCUUCAAAAGCAGCAUCAGCUUCAGUUAACUGAUGCUUCAGUUUUUCCAGUGCCUUGGAAAUUAUUAAAAAAAAAAAAGCAAAAGAAAAAUUAUUGUUGGAAAUGUACUUUUCCAGUAUCAAAAAAUUGAAAGACAGAUUUACUGACAGGACUAGGAUGCUCCACAUCCAAAAAUACAACCCGCAAUACUCGCUCAACUGUUACCCGAUCAAUCUGUUCAUCAAACUGCGAGGGAAAUAUUCAAUUCAGGUUAAUCUAAUAACAUGACAGAAUUUCACAAACACAAAAGAAGACUAAAAGAAACUGGAAUAGCAUGUUUAAUUGCAUGUCCGCAAAAAUAAGAAAGAACAAGAAUGAAAGUAGAAUAAAAUUACAAUAUUCCAAUGGUCCGAUGCAGCUCCACAUAAAAUUUUUUUAGAAAAUUUGCCUAGUUAUAAGAGCAUUGAAAAUUGCCAUAACAGUUCAUUGAUUGCAAUUCCAAGCUAAUUCUUGACCUAUUCUCAUAUCUACGAGACUACGACUCAUUACCAUAUCUACAAAGUUACAGAAAGAGGCCAAGUUGAGAUGUGGGAAAGUUUUUGCUUACACUCAUUAAGUAUGUUAAUUUGAAAAUCAAAAUUGGGAAAUUGCAAUUCGAUCUCUUUAAUAUAUCCCACACCAACCUAAUCAAAUGGUUAUAUACUCUCUUAGACAAUUUAUCUCAAGCAAUCAAAUAAGUAAAGCUAAUUACUAAUAAAAACAAUUUAAGACUAAACAACGAAACAGAAAGCAAAUAUGAUGAGCCUCACCAACUCAGGUGUAUAUUCUGUUCCUCCUUUCACCUUCAAACUCAUGAUCUUAAACUUAACAUUGCUCUUCUGGUCUAUUACUUUCUCAUUGUUCUCUGGAUGCUCCACAAACUUGAACACUGUCCAUUUCCCAAUUCAAAAUGAAAAUAAAUGUCAUAUGACUUGCAAAUUAAUCAUUAUAUUGCACCUCCAAACUGCACAAGAAAUCAUGUUCCCCGCCAAUUAAGUAUGAAAUUUCCAGAGGGAAAAAAUUUGGUACGGUACCAGUCGCAAUAAGGCUCUCUCCUGGAGCAAGGAUGCCACCAGGAGGACGCAUGAAACAACUCUUCGGUUCAGUUGUUUGAAACUACAAUAGGAUAGAGAAACCAGUCCGAUAUCAAUUAGGUUAUGCAAACGUCCAUAGUAUGAACAAAUGUAUAAACCUGAACAAGUCUAUUAUGCUUACGUUAUAUUUGAAACAAACCAUCAUCAAGUGUCAAUACGUCAUGUUAUAGCACAGGGAAAAGAUGUUAACAAAGAAAAAGAAGCAAAAUGACGAGUUUGAGUCUUUUGACAGUUGACAAAAGAUAAAAAGAGGCCAAAACCGCGUGGGGAAUGGAAACCCAUUCCAAACUCCAAGGUCAGCAAGCCAAAGAAAAUAAAAAUGGAGCAACGAAAGAAAAAGGCCUCAUUAAUUACUGGGUAAAUUACCAUCAGAUACUUAUAGUUUGUAAAAGUUAACUACUUAGUGCCUAUUUUUUAAAAACCACAUCAAAAUAUUCAUAUAUUUUAUAAGAUCAAACUCAUUAAUAUUUUUAUCAAAUAAAAUGUUAAUAAACUUAUUAUUAGCAUUUUAUUAAAUAUUAUAAAUACAUAAAAUUAUACAAAUUAAAUAGUAUAAAAAUUUGAAGUUAAAACAAUUUAACUAAUGUUUUUUAUAUAUAGAAAAGUUUGAUAGUACAAAAUAUAAGAUAUUUUCAUAGUAUCUUCUUUAAAUAAAUACUUUCUCUAUUUCUUAAUUUUUAUUCAUUUUAUUUUUUCACACAUAUUAAAAAAUAUAAUUUUUUUAAUUAACUUUUUAAUUAUACAUCUCUUAAAUAUAUUAAAUUUUAUUAAAUAUUGAGAAAUAUUUUAAAAAUUUUCUUAAAAAUAAAUAAAAUUAUAAUAAUUAAUUGACAUGUUGCUAUAAUUUAAAAAAAUAUGAACAAUAAUUUUAAAAUAAUAAAAAAAUAAUAAAAAUUAUGAGAUGGAGCAGUAUAUUCUAAUUUUUUUUUGUAAUUAUUUACCCUCAAAUGAUGUAAUCAUGUAAAUGCAACGCGAUGCGUCAUCUUGCCUUUGUUAAAAUCCAUACCAAUAAAAUUACUGUAUAACCCUGUUAAAGAACAAUAAUUUUUCCACCACAUUUUAAUUAUGUAAAACAAACCUUGAAAGCUACAUGAGACCUGCUAGUGUUUUUCAUCCUGAUUGCACUUCUCACCUGUUUCCCUGGUUCAUCUGCAACCCAUCCAGCACAAAAUAACUUCAGCGGUUACACAAAAGACAAAAAAAAGGUUAAAGCAAGAUUGAGAUCCAAAAAGAGAUAAGCGAGAGAGAGAGGUAAAACUUAAAAUAAGGCUUAAAAAACAGUAUACAAUAAGGUAAAAGCGUCAAACAAAGUAAAAAAACAAUAGAGAAAAACCCUGAAAUUUCUAUUAUUUGUUGAUCGAAAUCUCCAAUUCUUGGUUCUAUAAAUCGCGCUUGUUAACCAAAAGGAGAAUGACUCCGAUUAUAAUUCGAGUUGACCAAACAACUGAAGUCAACACGUGUAAAACAUUCAACCGUACAAAUAACGUCGACUUACACGGAAAGUAGAGGAUUUUAGCGGGGUCAAAACGGAGUCUGCGCCAAGCAGGGAGAAGAGAUCGGGCAACAGAUAAUACCGUUGUGGAUUUGGAGCUAUUCUUAACCUGCCGGUUACUGCUGUUGCCAUUACGAGUGUGGUUGAAAUUUUUCGUAGAAGAGGAAGACGAGGUGUUGGUUGUUCCGCUCUGCCAAAAAGGACAAAGACUAAACAACUUCUUAUCGCUGUGAGGCUUUUGCCGUUCGGCGACCGCCAUCGAUGUCACGGUUCAAAAUUAAAAAAACAAAUAUUCUCAGAGAAAAGGAAAGGAAGAAAGCUUAGUUUAGUUUGUUGUUAGGGAAAAUAUGUGGACCGUUGGGUUUCUUGGUGAGUUUUAUUGAAGAAAGCUUGGUUUAGUUUGUUGUCAGGGAAAAUAUGUGGACCGUUGGGUUUCUUGGUGAGUUUUAUUUAGGAAAUAUUAAUUAUUUAAUCUCUCGAGCUUGAAAAAAUUUUCAAAUAUUUUUAAAAUUUUAAAAAAUUUUCUUAAUUAAUAAUUUAUUAAUCAUUAAAAUAUUUUCAAUAUAAGAAAACUAAUCAAUAAUUUUUUUUUAAAUUAAAUAAUCAAUUAAUCAGUUUUUUAUAAUAUAUAAAUUAAAUAAUAAGAUAUUUGAUAAUAAAAAUUAAUGAAAUACUAUUUAAUAAACUUUUUAAAAUUUUAAAAAUAUUUUAUUGUGUUUUAAUAUUUCACUGAUUAAGCCUCUGUUUAAAAAAGUAUUUUGAAUAAAAAUAUUUAAUCUGAAAAAUAUUUUUUAAUAAAAUAAUUUAUCGUUCAUUUUUUAAUUUUAAUUUAAAAAACAAAAUAUUUUAAUAAAUUUAUAUAUAAAAAUUUUAAUAAUAAUUUUAAAAUUAGUAUUUUUUAUUAAUAAAAUAUUUUCGGUUGAUUUUUUUUUUUUUGAAAAAAGGCAGCAUUAAAUAAUAAAUUUAAUUUUUAUUUAAACGUGGGGCGUGGGGUUUGAAAUGGUUAUUUAAAUUGGAUUUUUGAGUUGGAAUCCGCUGGUAAGCGUGUUGACGGUUGUGCAAAGAUAGAGAAGCGUGAUAAAAAAGGCGUAGGACAGAAUAGGGAGGAUAGGUUUGCCCGCCGACGAUAUGUGAGGGAAAUGCAAUGUCAUUUGGAAUUAAAUAUUAAUUAGUGAUUUUGCUUGCAUUUAAAGUUUUUCUCUAUAUUCAUUACAUAUUUUAGUAAUUUACUUUUAAAUGUAUUUUUUAUAUAUAAGAUAUAAUAUUAUAAUAUAUUAUAAUUAAAUUUGUUAUUUUAUUAUUAAUUGAUUUUAAUUAUUAUAAAUAAGCUAUUUCAAACAUGGUAGUAGAAUCAUUAUACACACAUAUAUUUAAAAAAACUACAUCAGGAAAAUGAACACCCCAUUGUUUCUUAGACCUUACAAUGAAAUUCGACCUGCAAAAACCUUGAUCUUUCAGUGGUUCCACAGCAACAAAGGUGGCAGCCACAAUCCAAGCUUGUCUUGUGGCCUUCAUAACUUCUGUAAUUUGACAACUGUGUGCAGAAGUGUUGAUGAGUUGGGGAAGAUAAAAGGUUUGGUCUGUACAAUGGUAAACAUACUGAAAAAUCAGUAUGUUGUUCAUGGUUUGAGCCUCAGCCAAGGAUGAUGAUGAUGAAGAAGAAGAAAAAGGGUAAAAAAUCCUGGGCUGAGCCUCAGCCAAGGAUCUUACGUUGUUCAUGGCAUGGUGUUGCAGAGAUCUUAUAACAUAAUUCCAUCUGCAAACUCCUUGGUCUUUCAUUACCUCCACUGUGCCAAUACUAGCUGCCACAAUCCAAGCUCCCCUUUUACACUCAUUGUCUUUUUUUUAUUUUUUGAAAGAAUAGAAAGAUAAAACUCUAUUUUUAUAAUUACUUUUUGCUAAAUUAAAAUGUACAAUUACCAACAGGCAGGCUAAUUAGCCUGUGGCUUUUUCUGGCUGCCGAAAUGAAACAUACUGGGUAAAGGCUGGGGGAAGCUUCCCACUUUAUAUAGGCAUAGGGCUUUUGGAAUUUUUGCAUGAGGCUUGAUUAAUUGGCAUAUGGAUUAUCACCCACUGUUUAGGAACUGGCUCCAUUAAUAUAAUCAAUAUAAUUAAUGAUUAUAAUAUAAUCAAUUUUAAACAAAUAACCUCUGUGCUAUUGUUUUAUAUGUAUUUUAGAGUAUCACCUUAUUAUUAUUUUUUAAUUAAUGUAUACUAGAGCUGCAUUUAAAAGCUCAGACUAUUAAAGAUUAUAAAGGGCCAUUAAAGAACAUCAAAGUCCAGUACUCAACAGAUACCAAUAGAAAAACCAACCCAAAAGAAACCAAACUCAAACAACUAAACCGACUAACGAACCAAAACAGAUAUACAAAACAAACCAACAUGUAGCAGCAGCAAACCCAGUCAUUUCUUAAGGAAACUUCUAUCUGAUUUGAAGCAACAGCAAGGUCAAGCCAUUAUGCUUUAUGUUGCCCAGAAAUCAGACAUCUCCAUGUCUGAAAACUCAAGUCGACAUGGCAGGACAAAGCUUCAUGCUUUCAGAUAGGCAGAAAGAAAUGGAAGUGAAGCUUGUUCCUUGUUUAUUAGCAUGGAAAGAACAAUAUGCACAAAUCAGAGAUUUGUAGUUUAUCUUUGAUCUUUCCACCACAUGAUGAAAAGUAAGUGUGUUGGGAGGAAGAUCUCCAGAAAAUUCAAAGCCAGUGUCUCUAGACAAAACUCGUUAAUAAUAUGUUACUAUGCUACUUGAGUUAUUAUGCUUUAAAAACUUAAUGAUUAAGCAGUGAACUUAUGAGAAUUGGGGAUUUAAUAUGGUUCUCUGUCUAAAUUUUUUUUUUCUUCCUUUGUAAUUUUACUUUCCCCUUAAAAAAUGGCCUGCAACUCUGCAGACACAGUUUGGGAAAGAAACAAGGCCAGUGAUCUGAGUGCUUAGCUUGUAAUGAAAUUUGAGAUAAAAUCGUAUGAAAGUUCACUAAUCUAUAAACGAUCCAGAACUGAAACUGCAGACAUAGAAGAGCUGAAGGAACAUUAUUAUAAAAACUGAAAGGAAGCUAUAUGUACAUUCAAUGCAAAAUUGGCACUGCACAAACAAGCGUGAGGGUUCAAUUAGGACCCCAACAGCUCAAAUACAUAACUGUUCUGAGAGACUCCUCAGACUGUUUCAACUUGUCAUCUCUGAGCUUCUUUGGAAGAGCAGGAAGCAAUUUUUUCGGCUGCUGAGAAUAUGAUCUGAUAUUGUUCUUGGCAUGUUGUUGAAGUGACCUCAGUGCAUAGUUCCAUCUGCACAAGCCUUGAUCUUUCAGUGCUUCCACUACUCCUAUACUUGCAGCUACCAUCCAAGCUCUGCUUGUAGAACUCAUUUUGAAUUUGUAAACUAUGGAGUGGAACAGAGAACUGAAACUGGUUUGAUGUGAGGAUUUUAGUAGCUAGGAAGAAAGACUUGUAUCUUGCAAUUGUGAUUUUGUUGUGGAGGGGAGGAGUUCUUAUAUAUAUGUGGAAAAUUGGUGAAAUAAAUUAAUAAAAUAGGUAAAGAUUGGGAGUGGGAUUGAUUGGUGAGAUAAACCAGCGACGGUUUCACCAAUAGUUUAGGGAAAGCCAAUUGUUUAUAGCAGUGGUAUUUCUAAAACAAGCUCCGAGAAUCAUUGAAUGGGGACAGACAACUGUGAGACAGAGUGAAAGCGAACUCCAAAUAAACAAAGAGAUAUAAUCAUACUGAUAUCUGGUGGGGUAGGGUUUGGUAAUUUGGUGUUUGAUCUUAUCCUAAAGUUUCUUACAGUCUUGAAGCUUUUCUUUUCUUUGGAUAAGUUUUCCUUUAUUUGUUUGCUUAUCCUUCUUUAGAAUAGAUAGAACGUAAUCAGAAAAAAUAAAGCUUUUCCUUCUCUUAUUUAUAUAUAUUUUCUCUAAUUCAAACAAGAAAAAUACUUAUUCCACUUUAUUAGGUUUCAAUUUUUGUUUGUGUGAUUCCAUCAAUUAUGAGUUGAAAAUUUAGAGCACAAUAUAAA